rnacentral:lncRNA from 1 species
CUGCCUUUUCCCCUCAAACCCCCGAUCGCCUCCUCGGGCCGCCGUCGCCGGCGAACAUUGCCGCCGCCGUGAGCCGCCUCCCCUCUGUAGUUUCUCCCGUACUGCUAUCGCUCGUAUUGCUCUCAUAAUCCUGUAUUUCGUGUGGAUCGGUAUCUGCUUCUUCUGCUCUUUCGGACAGGUAGCUGAUCCCUUUCCCUUCUGUACCUUUUUUUUCGCCUGCGUGAGAACUAUGGGGCUAAUUGCUUUCUCUAAUGUGAACAGUUGUUCUUGCCCCUAGAUGUCACUUUUUUUUUCUAUUAUUUUCUUUUGGCACAGAUUGAAUAAAAUCAUCGGAAUAUCUUACGUCAAGAUUUUAUCUCCCUCUAAAUGCCGGUGCUAUAUUUUCGUUUUCCUUAUCUCUCUGUAAUUUUCUCCAACGUUUUCCAACAUAUUUUUAGGACGCCGGUCAUAAUGUCUUCCAUACUUGGAAACAUUUAGUGAUGAAGGUCAAUUUUUCGCAUCUUCAAUGAGCAUAAUUUUCAUAAUGACUUGUUAACUACUCAUGUUUAUUGGUGGUGUUUUUGGCUAUUGGCUGCCUGACAUGCGCAUUUUCUUUUUGAUUUUCCCAUAUUCUCUGUUAAUGGGGGCUACUUUAUUCGCAAAUUGGAGGCACAUGGCUCAUUUUCUUCAUUAUCUCGAACAUUGCCUUUAUUUUUUCCAAAUGAUUUCCACACAUUCCUCCGGAGCUCUUGAAGAUUUCCUUUUCUUUAUCUUUCUAACUCCUUAUUGGAUCUUAGCUUACGAAUAAUUUAAUAUGUUCGCAUUGACAUGCAGGGUAUGACAGAUAUUACGGCCAAUUCUUAACGACAUUGUUUCUCUUGUAUAUCUGCAAAGUUAUCCUCUAAAGUUUGGAGAACUAUCGGUGUUAAAAAUUCUUUAAAAUAUAACCAAUGUUAAUUUCGUGGUGCCCUUCUCAUAAGAUAUACAUUAAAUGCAUGGAUCCACAUUUCUUUUUCCAACCAUUGUCACAGGAGUAUUGGCCAUUAAUCAUUUUUAUAUUUUCCUAUCUGUGUUGGCGUUUCUUGUUUAUGUUAACAGGUAGAGUGCUUGCUGAAAUGAUGCAAUCGUUUUGGAGAAACCUUUGUCGCAAUCAGAGCCAUGUUGCCAAUACUGGGAUUCUGCCUUUUAAAAAUUUCAAAAUCUAUUCAAAUACUUGCCAUGGAUUAUCUACUUCCGAGUGCACCUCUGGAGGGGGAGGGGAGGCCAUACAUUUUCUUCGGCAUAUAAGCAGCAGAAACCAAAAUGUAAUUCCUUCUAUCUCAAGCUUUCUCAUUGGACUUUUGCGUUUGUAGAAUAUGUUGCUGCUUAUUUUUUUGUCCUUAGAUUUGAUUCUAAAAGCUUUAUUUGCCUGUAUAUAUCUGGCAUUUCUAUUCCAUACCUAUGGAAUCACCUAAAAAGAUCGAAAUUCAUAUGUAAACCUUUUUUUUGCAAUGUUCUCUGUUUUGGUUUCUGUUGUUGUCUAUCAGUACUAAAGUGGUUGUGUUGUAGAACAGAUUUGCGUGAAAGAGGAGAGGUCCAAAAGGGGAAGUCUAAAAGGUCAUAAUGGGUAAAUUAAAAAAAAGAGCAUCGUAGUAUUCUUUAGGUGGACCCCGUAAGAGGCAAACGCAUUUUCUUUUCUUUGGCCUUGUAACUUUUUUGCUGUUAUCUAUGAAAUCAUAACUGUUACAGAGUUUGUUAUCAGAUCAUAUUGUUUAAGAAAUCUACAACCACUUUUGAGCUAUUUAAAGCAACACGGGCUGUAGAUCUGAAUGGUUUAUUUUUAUUUCAAAAAAGAAGAGAUAUCCCCCCCCCCUUUCUCUACUUCUGGAUUCAAUCUGCGCUUGUGGCAGGCUUUCUGCUUUUUACGAUGAUAAUGACGAUUAGAUGGUAUUGGGACAUUUGUUCUUUUGGUAAAUUGACAUGGAAGGAAUAAUAGGAGAUUACAAACUNNNNNNNNNNNNNNNNNNNNNNNNNNNNNNNNNNNNNNNNNNNNNNNNNNNNNNNNNNNNNNNNNNNNNNNNNNNNNNNNNNNNNNNNNNNNNNNNNNNNNNNNNNNNNNNNNNNNNNNNNNNNNNNNNNNNNNNNNNNNNNNNNNNNNNNNNNNNNNNNNNNNNNNNNNNNNNNNNNNNNNNNNNNNNNNNNNNNNNNNNNNNNNNNNNNNNNNNNNNNNNNNNNNNNNNNNNNNNNNNNNNNNNNNNNNNNNNNNNNNNNNNNNNNNNNNNNNNNNNNNNNNNNNNNNNNNNNNNNNNNNNNNNNNNNNNNNNNNNNNNNNNNNNNNNNNNNNNNNNNNNNNNNNNNNUAAGUAGAUACUAACUACUCUCUCUCUCUCUCUCUCUCUCUCUCUCUCUGUGCCUCUCUCUAAACUUGCUCAACCAGUCUCCAGUUUUGGACGGCCAACUGUAUCUUUUGUUUCAUUGCUGUCAGUCUUCUGUACGAAAUCUUCAAUUUAUUGACUGUAUUUAUCACUUUCCCACACAGUGCGUCUGAGUCCUUUCUGUUUACUCAUUCCCAAUGUCGACUGGAUUCAUGAAUAUAUUUUGAAUCUACAGACGUAAGUAGACAGUUUUGGAUGUUCUGAAUCAGCCAUUGAUAUUAUUUUAGGCCGUCCAUGUAAUCAUGCCAUACAUUUGAAACUGCCUACGCAAUGGAAAGUCAUGUGAUAAUAAUAUAGGAAAAAUUCCUCUUUCACUUUUGAUGUAAAAGCUGGGGCAGAAUUUUUGGAAAAUUUUAAAAUAAAAAAAUCGUUGUCUACAUUUUGUCUCUUCUCCGACAUUUGACCCUUCUUCAUCUUUCUUCCUGGCAUUCUGCUAAAACUGUAGAUUAUUUAUCUCCUAUGCAGGAAUUCCUUGACAUCUAUCCUCUUGUACACUGAUGAUGAAACUGCUUCAUUUUUCUGUGAUUUUCACUGAAAAGUAUGCAAUUCGGAUUGCUUUUGCUGUAAGAAAAAUUGAGGAUAAACAUGCCUAUUUUUGCGUAGCAAUAGUUCUGCUUGAUUUUCUGGCUAUAGCCUUUCGACCUUUCCCUCUUUCUGCAACCUUGUUCUCUUGUUUAAUCCCACCUAAUUCUGUGAACGUUGGCACCAGAUUUCUUACAGUAAAGUGUUCUCAGGGUCACAUCUUUACUCUAUUCAUAAUUUUGUGAUUGUCCUAAACAUUCCCCACCUUCCAAAACAGGGGCUUCCAUUUUCUCAGGGCGACACUAUGGAGUUAUCCAGGCUCCAUCAACAGUGACAAGUCUCCUGACCUAAAGUCCUUGCUAGCCUCAUUAUAGCACAACCCUUUGGAACCCUUCCGACCAUUAUAUGUAUAUCCUAGGUGGUGUAUAUGCUAGGUGCCACAACCACACGUCUUACACAAUUAGAUGCUGUGCUGAUGACUGCCUGAUGGCUACACAGUGGCAUGGCGUUAUUAUUGCGUUGAUGUUGUCGAUGCUGCUUUUCUGGUGGCGGUUUCUCCACAUAGUUUCUCCACCAUGUGGUUUUCUUUACCACAGCCUGCGUUUCCAAACAUUGAAUUUUUAGAUUUGCAACCUUUGAAUAUAAGUUGCACCGUUCAUUCUUUUUGAAACUGAAGGAAAGAAAAGAACCACCUAUCUUAUGGAGGCUUUAUUAGAGUUUCUAGAAAUGUCUUGAUGAUUACAUUUGGGUUUCUCUUCUUCUUCUUCUUUCUCUCCAAUCAAUAGCCAGGGGAGAUGGACAGUGAUCAAUAUUUCCAUGGGGGUAGUUCCUUGUAUAAUCUGAACUGCCUACCUUAAUUGCGGCAGCAGCAGCUCAUUUUCCUUCGACAGCUUGUAGGUCUACUUCUGAUGCUUGUUCCCAACGAUUAGAAUGGUAGAUAUGGGUCAUGAAGAUUGGGGCUAUGCUGAUUUAGGUCGUUGGUAAGACGUGGCCUACCUUCAGAAUAGCUGGUGAUGGAGUUUCUUUCUUGCUGUUUCAUCUUACUGUAUACUGAACCGGUUUGGCUUAAACCGCUUCAGCUUGAACCGGACUGGUUCGGGUUAGUAUAAAUACUAACCAAUUUGUAACCUCUCUUCUUGAAUCAGAAUUUGAGGGCCUCGGCCUCUCUUUCCCGUUUUCCUUUUUCCCUUGUGUGUAUGGUAGCCGCUGCUACAAGAGAGAGAUUGGAGGUACUUGGGAGAGAUUUCAGCACCUGCUGAAUUCUUGUCAUGGUUUCAGAGCCAGGUUCUGUCUCUCCAGCACUUGUUUAGCCAGAUUCUUUGAUCUCUUGAUUUUGCUUGUUUGUGGUGUUUAUUCUUUAUUCUCUUGAGGGCACGAAUUUGUGGCUUGUAAGAUAAGACACCAUUUAUUCACUGAUUCUGCACUAUCCAUGUGAGAAUCUAGCGUUCUUAACCUACACAACAAGAUCUGUAGAUCUGUGUCUUGGUUUUAUGGAUUCUUGAUUCUUGAGAUACGAGAAUGUUUGAAGCCACCUCUAGAACAGAACAGUCCUGAGUUGUGAGGACAGAAUCUGAUGUGAACUAUGAGGAUUUGCCUAUGAUACCCCAAAUAGACCAUCUUGAUGGCAGAAAUUACUUUGGGUAGUCACAACAGAUCGGAAUCAUUCUUAAAGGACGAAGGAUGGUUGAUCAUUUGAUCAGUACAAGUUCAAAAUCUGGAAAUCUAGGUUUUGAAAGUUGGGAGCAAAGGGACUCGAAGAUCAUGAUGUGGCUGUGGACCAAGAUGAAUCCUAAGAUCUGAAGGACCUGCUUGUAUCUAAACACGGCAAAGAAUAUUUAGGAAAAUUUACACCAAACUUACUUUAAGGUGAAAGAUGCUGCACAGGAUUAUGAAUUGAAGUUGAAAAUGGUGACUAUGAAGCAAGGUUGGAAUCAGUGACAGAGUAUAAUCAUGAAGUGCGAUCAUUGUGGCAAGAACUUGACCAAUACAAGAGUGCAGACAUGAGGGAUCCUAUGGACGCAGCAUUACAUAGAGGAGAUAGAAAGGGAUCGUACAUAUGAAUAUCUUAUAGGAUUAAAUUCUGAAUAUGAUCAACUUAGAAUUCAAAUCCUGGGAAAAGAGAAGUUACCUCCUCUAAAUGAAGUGAUCUCCUUAAUUAGGGGAGAAGAAAGUCGUCAAAAUUUAAUACUUGAUUCUGAAGAUGUGGAUAGUUCAGCAUUUGUGGCUAAGGGUGGAAAAAAUUAUGACAACUAUACAAAAUUCAGAGGUCGAUCUCCAAGACCAGAGAAGACUCAUAGUAGUGACUAUUGGGACAUAUUGUGGUGUACCUACUGUAGAAAACCGAGGCACACAAUUGAUAGACGUUAUAAAUUACAUGGGAGGCCUUCACAUCAUGUAAAGGGACAACAAAGGGGAGGAGACCAAGUCCAUUUCACUGUGGCACAGCAAGGAGAAAAUAUUACCUCAGAUGAAAAACAAGUUAGUAUGGAAGAACCUUCCCAUGCCAAAGUGAUGCAAGCCUCGUCUGCACUUGCUUGUUCAAGUAAGUCUCCUACUUUUACUGGAUUAGUGUUUCUAUAAAUAGUAAACAUUCACUUUGGUUAGUGGAUUCAGGUGCCACAGACCAUAUGAACUGUGCCUUUCAUUUGUUCAAUUCUUAUGCCCCUUGUCCUAGUAAUAGAAAAAUCACCACAGCUGUGGGAUCUUAUGUCACAAUUGCUGGAGUAGGAAAUAUCCAAUUAUCACUAGACAUCAUUCUGAAAAAUGUACUUCAUGUCCCUAUGUUAGCCUCUAGUCUUAUGUCUGUAAGCAAGCUUGCACAAGAUCUGGGUAAUGUUAACUUUGAUCUCAAUACUUGUCUUUUCUUUGACAAGACAUCUGGGAGGCAAUUAGACAUGCUAGAGAAUGGAGCAGACUCUAUUAUCUGGAACUUCCAAGUCAAUCUAACAUAGCAGUUGAUCAAAGUAAUAUUCUCAAAGAUUCGCACCUGUCAAACAUGGACAAACUUUGGCCUCAACAUUGAAGAUUAAGAUAUCCCUCUUUUUUGACUCUUAAAACUUUGUUUCCUUCCUUAUUUCAUAACUUGAAUAUAUCUGAAUUUAAAUGUGAAGUAUGUGAGUUUGCAAAACAUCGAAGAACUCCAUUUCCUAAAAAUACCUUGAAAUGUUCAAUACCUUUUUCUUGUAUUCAUAGUGACGUGUGAGGGCCUUCACCUACACCUAGCACUAGUGGAGCUAGGUGGUUUGUCACCUUCAUUGAUGAUUGUACAAGAAUGGCAUGGAUUUAUUUAGUUAAACAUAAAUCUGAUGUUAACAUGACACUCAUUCAAUUUUGUUCUCUAAUAAAAAAUCAAUUUGAUACUGCUGUUAAGAGAUUUAGAUCUAAUAAUGCCAAAGACUAUUUUAAUUAAACCUUGACUUCUUUUUUUCAAAAUAAAGAGAUAGUGCAUGAGUCAUCAUGUGUUUAUUCACCCCAACAAAAUGGCAUGGCUGAGUGUAAAAAUAGUCAUUUGUUAGGAACUACUAAAGCACUCUUUAUACAAAAUAAUGUGCCUAAUUUUUCUAGGGUGAGGGAGUUCUUAUGGCUGCCCAUCUAAUAAAUCGAUUACCUUCUAAAUCAUUGAACCUUAAAAGCCCAGUUGACAUGUUGUCAUUCUUCAAUCCUCAUAUCACAUUAAAAACAAAUCUCAUUCCCAAAAUCUUUGGAUGCAUAGCUUUUGUAAAUAUACAUGAACGACAUAGAGAUAAAUUAGAUUCUAGAGCCUUGAAGUGUACUUUUGUAGGAUAUUCCCAAAAAGAAAAAAGAUACCACUGGUAUCAUCCUCCAACAAGGAAGACUUAUGUGACAAUGGAUGUAACUUUCAAUGAAAAAGAAGCAUACUACAGUUCAUCAAAUUAUCAUGAGGAAACUCAAACUUCUCAUGAUCUAGAAUUAAAUUUCUUACUUCUCACUUUUAUUACCAGAUGAUGUUCUUGUUCAUGAUGAACUACUUGUCCUAGAAGAUAGUCAUAAUAAGGAACAGGAAAAGGUAGAUUUGGCCAAGUAUAUUCCAGAAAAAAGAGAAUUACUUCAGAUUCUACUCAGGCUCAAAAGUCCUCCUAAGAUGAGUCAAAUACAACAUCCAAUACCAUCUCUUUACCUAUUGACCAAGACUUGCCUAUAGCCCUUCGAAAGGAGGUUAGAAAAUGUACCCAAAAGUCAGUGUAUCCCAUUGCACUUUUUUUGUCAUAUGAUAGGUUAUCACCCUCACAUAAGACCUUUCUAUCCAAUCUGAAUGCCACUACAAUUCUAAAAACUAUUUUUGAAGCUCUAACCCAUGAGAAGUGGAGACAAGUUAUGAAUGAAGAGAUGAGGGCUUUAGAGAAGAAUAACACUUGAGAAUUUGUGCAUCUACCAAUGGGGAAGAAAGUAGUUGGGUGUAGAUAGGUGUAUUCAAUUAAGUACCAUGCAGAUAGGUCAAUAGAAAGGUACAAGGCUCAGUUGGUUGCCAAAGGAUACACACAAACUUAUGGAGUUGACUAUUGUGAAGCUUUUGUCCUAGUUGCGAAAAUAAAUACAAUCAUGAUAUUUUUUUCAUUGGCCACUAAUUUGAUUGGGAUCUUCAACAGUUUGAUGUCUAAAAUGCAUUUUUAUAUGGAAAGUUAGAAGAAGAAAUUUAUAUGGAGGCACCUCCAGUUUUCAAAGACAAUUUAGACCCUGACAUUAUAUGUAAACUGAAGAGAGCAUUGUAUGGGUUGAAACAAUCUCCAAGAGCUUGGUUUGGAAGAUUUAUGAAGGUUAUGCUCAAGAUUGGAUAUAGAUAGAGCCAAGGAGAUCAUACCUUGUUUUUCAAACAUUCACCUUUAGGGGGGGGUCACAAUUUUAAUUGUAUAUGUUGACAACAUCAUUGUAACAGGAACUAAUGACAUGGAAAAGAAACUCCUCAAUCAAUGUUAAUCUCAAGAAUUUGAGAUGAAAGCCUUAGGAAGACUCAAAUACUUCCUAGGCAUUAAAGUUGCUCGUUCAAAGAAUUUCAUUUUUCUGUCUCAGCAGAAAUAUGUGAUGGACUUAUUGUAGGAGACAGGUAAACCAGUUUGUAAGCCUGCAAAUUCUCCAACUUAUCCCAAUCUCAAACUAAGUGCAUGUGAAGAAGAUAUUGCUAUUGAUAAGGAAAUGUAUCAACAGCUAGUUGGUAAAUUAGUUUACCUAUCAGGUACACUAUCAGGCAUAGCCUAUGCAGUCAGUGUAGUAAGCCAAUCUAUGCACAAUCCAAAGUCUAUGCAUUUGCAGGCAGUAUAUCAUAGUCUUCAUUAUCUCAAAGGAAUAGCAGGGAGAGGAAUUUUAUUCAAGAAGUAUUGUCAUUUAAUAUUGGAAGUAUACACAGAUGCAGAUUAUGCAGGGUCUGUUGUAGAUUGACAGUCAAUAUCUGGAUAUUGAACGUUUCUCGGAGGAAAUCGUAUUACUUGGAGUAAAAAACAAGGCGUUGUGGCUAGAUGAAGUGCAGAGGCUGAGUUUUGAGAUAUGGCUCAAGACAUUUGUGAGGUUUUGUGGAUCAAUAUUAUUUUGAAUGAUUUGAAGAUCAAAAUAGAUGGUCCAAUAAAAUUAUAUCAGCUAUCAACAUUGCACAUAAUCUUGUGCAAUAUGACAGAACCAAACAUAUAAAGAUUGAUUGUCACUUUAUAAAAGAGAAAUUAGAAAGUGAGUUGAUAUGUACUCAAUAUGUGCCUUCAAAUGAUCAAGUUGCAGAUAUAUUCACAAAAGGACUUCCAAACAACAUCUUUCAUCAUUUGGUGUGCAAGUUGGGAAUGGAUAAGAUACAUUCACCAGCUUGAGGGGGAAUGCUAGAAAUAAGAGUGUUUUCUUGUUAUCCUUCUAGCUGUUUCAUCUUAUUGUAUACUGAACCGAUUUGGCUUAAACCGGCUCACCUUGAAUCGGACUGUUUGGGUUAGUAUAAAUACUAACCAGUUUGUAGCUUUCUUCUUGAAUCAGAAAAUUUGAGGGCCUCGGCCUCUCUUUCCCGUUUUUCCUUUUUUCCUUGUGUAUGGUAGCCGCUGCUACAGGAGACAGAUUGGAGGUACUUGGGAGAGAUUUCAGCACCUGCUCAAUUUUUGUCAAGCCUCAUCCUUACACCAAUUGUUGAUUUAUUGGCCAGUUUGACACUGGAUUUCACAAGCUUUAUCUGGGAGAACUAUGAUUCUUUAUUCGUUUACACUAAUUCCCAACGUGACUUCUGCUCCUCCAAUGUUUUGUCCUUGCCAUUUUCUAUAUAUUGAUAUGGUUAUUGUUGAUGUCGUCAUUUUUUUUAUCGCUGAAUUUCGUUGCCCCUUUCAGGAAAUAGGGUCCCCUUCCUACAGAGGACUCCAUUCAUUUUUAAAGCAUCAGUUUAUUGGACCUUGCACGGCAUGGAUCAAUGCCCCUACAAGGAACAUGACAACAGAUGUUCAUCCUGGGAAACCCGUGGAUGAAGACAGAUCUGAUGCCACCACUCAUACAGUUGAGCCUCAACGCAUAAAGUUCAAAAGGCUCGAUAAAACAGCCAGGCACAUAAUGAACGUGAGGCUCCUAAAGCAUCCAGUUUAAGUUAUUUGUGACAGUUUUAUUGGAGCUUCAUAGGAGAAGGCAAUUCCAGUUCUUACAGGGUUUUACUCUUUAAUCUGGACAAGGAAAAGAAUGACUCCUUUUUCUCGUCAACCGCAGAUUUUGGACAAGGAAGAAGUAGACAAAGUAAGAGGAAGCAGGGAUAUACCUGAUAUAAAGCCUGGCUACAUCGUCCAACUCAGAGUGGUAGGUCUUCAGGAUGAGAUAAUUCCAUUUCUGCGAGUGACGAGGGUAACAUACGGCCAUGAACUUGAACCUUGCAUGGUUUUCUGACGCAGGAGGUGCCAGAAAAUAAGUCCCGGGUGUCAAUUCUGAAGGGCAUCGUGAUUGCUAGGCGCAACGCUGGCCUGCAUACCACAUUCCGACUGCGGAGGAUGGUAGCAGGCGUAGGAGUGGAGUCCGUUUUCCCUUUGUAAGUCUGGCUGGCCGUCCCAUUUCUCACGAAUACUCGUAUAUUUUUCACGGAUAUUUACAUCCGUCGGUUUCUUCCACUCACAGUUGAACCCAUUUUGUGUGCUCGGAAAUGAAAUUAGAGAGGAAAUGGUAGGAAGGCCUCUGUACAUUUAUGAAGACAUUUUCUUUGAAAUGAUCGCAGUAUAGUGAGCCAAUUACUCAAGAUGUCUAUAAAAUUCACAGGGAUACCGUCAAGAUUGGGCACUUGCUGAGGGCAAGUAGCCAAAAGCCAUAAACAUGGCGAAUAGAAGUGUUCACAGGUGGCCAGAAAAAUGAUAAGAACAGGAUUCUCUCUCCACCACCAUACGUGUUUUCAGCCCAACGCAAAUGGCUGAUCCUGACCCAAUAUUGUUCUGUCUUAGUUCCCUGGUUCAUCCUCCGUGAGAAGUAGUUGAUGAUUAUUUGGCAUCAAAAACUAGUAUUGAUAAACUUUUUUUUGAAAGCAAAUGACUCUACAACUCAAAUGAGUAUGAGAUUUGGUCUAGGAUUUAUCUUUGCAAUUGGUCUAGGAUAUGCAUUUUUCUUGUUCGUGAACAAUUUUUGAUGAUUAUUUUGUGCAGUCAUAAAUUUUUUUAAAGAGACGACUGUACACUAUGGAUUUAUCUUUGACAUUGUUCGCAGUGCGUGAACACGAGGAGAUGCUCUUUUCUCUGUUCGUGAAAAAUAGUUGACGAUUAAUUUGCAUAGAAAAUUAAUAUUUGAUUAUUUUUGUUGAAAAAAGAGACUGUUUCAUCAGAAAAUCCUUUUUUUUCAUUCUGGAUCAUGAAGGUUCAAUUAUCUAUUAUUACCAAACGCGAUUAUACAUUUGGUACAAAAAUAACCUAUGCAUAGAUGACGUUCAUAAAUUUUUUGAAAGAGAUGACUGCACAAUCUACAUGGAUUUAUCUUUGUCCUUGUUCGUAGUAUGUGAACGCACGUGCUCUUUCUUCUGUUCGUGAAAAAUAGAUGAUGAUUAAUUUGCAUAAAAAUUAGUAUUUUGGUCAUUUUUGUUGAAAGCUACUGUUUCAUCAACCCCCCCCACCCCCCCCCCGGUUCCUCUGGCGGCUACUCUAAUCAGAAACAUCUUUUUCUUUUCUAUUAUGCAUCAAGACAGGUCCAAUUAUCUAUUUCUAUCAAAUGCGAUUAUGCAUGUUGUACAAAUAUCAUCUAAUCUUAUGCGGAAAACUAUGAUCUCUGGAACAUUUUUUUUGGUUCUUCAUUUAUUCAAUCAUUCAUUAAUGGCCAGGUACUCCCCAAACAUCAAGGAGAUGAAGGUGCUGGACAAGAAGGACGUCAGGAGGGCGAAGCUCUAUUACCUGAGGACCAGGAUGAACGCUCUGAAGCACAAAUGAAGAGUCCCCGCCGCCCCCCCAAUUUCAUCAGGAUAAUUAAAAAAAUGUCGAAUAUUUGGUUUUCCUUUUUUUUCUUCUGGAUUUUUCCUCCUCGCCGGCAAAGGAAAAAUGAAAAUCUCCGAUUUCCCCGGAAUAACAUUAUUCUCACGUUUCUUCUUGAUUAUGUGGGUGCACAUCGGCCACAUGGCACCCAUUUAUUGGGGGGAUACACCAUGUUGGUUCUUGCAUCUAAUGGGCCAAAUGGGGCCGUCUGAUAUCGGGCCUGAGACUCGUUAAAUGGGCCAAGGGCCCAUCGAUAAGAACCGGGCCUGUGGUGCUACUAUCUGGGAUAGUUCUGCAAUUUGGGCUCGAAAGAGGUCCAAGUUGGAGAGCUGAGCUCACGAAGUGACAGCUCGAGAUCGUCACUCUAAAUUAGGGUAAAGAGGGAGCGAUGGAUUUGUUUGUUGUUAUAAAUGGGAUUGGUGGGCCCCAUCAACGCAAAACCCGACGACUUUGGAGAAGCCAGGCCUCCACCAGAUCAACCCACGCGCGUAAUCUGGGUAGUAAGAGAGAGAGAGAGGCAGGGUUUUUUGUGAUAAUAAUAAUUAUAAAUGACGGCGCCGCCGCAAGGAGAAUGGGUGAGACCCAACUUGUCCACUCUCUGUCGCUCUCUCACUGGCUCUUUAAGAGAGGAGCGAUGGCGCCGCCGUCCGCUCUCACUAAGAGACGGGCCGCCUGCUCCCCACACUCUCUCUCGCUCUCUCAGUUGGCUCUUGAAGAGAGGAGCGGCUCCGCCUAGUCAUGUCUAUCUCUCUCUCUCUCUCNNNNNNNNNNNNNNNNNNNNNNNNNNNNNNNNNNNNNNNNNNNNNNNNNNNNNNNNNNNNNNNNNNNNNNNNNNNNNNNNNNNNNNNNNNNNNNNNNNNNNNNNNNNNNNNNNNNNNNNNNNNNNNNNNNNNNNNNNNNNNNNNNNNNNNNNNNNNNNNNNNNNNNNNNNNNNNNNNNNNNNNNNNNNNNNNNNNNNNNNNNNNNNNNNNNNNNNNNNNNNNNNNNNNNNNNNNNNNNNNNNNNNNNNNNNNNNNNNNNNNNNNNNNNNNNNNNNNNNNNNNNNNNNNNNNNNNNNNNNNNNNNNNNNNNNNNNNNNNNNNNNNNNNNNNNNNNNNNNNNNNNNNNNNNNNNNNNNNNNNNNNNNNNNNNNNNNNNNNNNNNNNNNNNNNNNNNNNNNNNNNNNNNNNNNNNNNNNNNNNNNNNNNNNNNNNNNNNNNNNNNNNNNNNNNNNNNNNNNNNNNNNNNNNNNNNNNNNNNNNNNNNNNNNNNNNNNNNNNNNNNNNNNNNNNNNNNNNNNNNNNNNNNNNNNNNNNNNNNNNNNNNNNNNNNNNNNNNNNNNNNNNNNNNNNNNNNNNNNNNNNNNNNNNNNNNNNNNNNNNNNNNNNNNNNNNNNNNNNNNNNNNNNNNNNNNNNNNNNNNNNNNNNNNNNNNNNNNNNNNNNNNNNNNNNNNNNNNNNNNNNNNNNNNNNNNNNNNNNNNNNNNNNNNNNNNNNNNNNNNNNNNNNNNNNNNNNNNNNNNNNNNNNNNNNNNNNNNNNNNNNNNNNNNNNNNNNNNNNNNNNNNNNNNNNNNNNNNNNNNNNNNNNNNNNNNNNNNNNNNNNNNNNNNNNNNNNNNNNNNNNNNNNNNNNNNNNNNNNNNNNNNNNNNNNNNNNNNNNNNNNNNNNNNNNNNNNNNNNNNNNNNNNNNNNNNNNNNNNNNNNNNNNNNNNNNNNNNNNNNNNNNNNNNNNNNNNNNNNNNNNNNNNNNNNNNNNNNNNNNNNNNNNNNNNNNNNNNNNNNNNNNNNNNNNNNNNNNNNNNNNNNNNNNNNNNNNNNNNNNNNNNNNNNNNNNNNNNNNNNNNNNNNNNNNNNNNNNNNNNNNNNNNNNNNNNNNNNNNNNNNNNNNNNNNNNNNNNNNNNNNNNNNNNNNNNNNNNNNNNNNNNNNNNNNNNNNNNNNNNNNNNNNNNNNNNNNNNNNNNNNNNNNNNNNNNNNNNNNNNNNNNNNNNNNNNNNNNNNNNNNNNNNNNNNNNNNNNNNNNNNNNNNNNNNNNNNNNNNNNNNNNNNNNNNNNNNNNNNNNNNNNNNNNNNNNNNNNNNNNNNNNNNNNNNNNNNNNNNNNNNNNNNNNNNNNNNNNNNNNNNNNNNNNNNNNNNNNNNNNNNNNNNNNNNNNNNNNNNNNNNNNNNNNNNNNNNNNNNNNNNNNNNNNNNNNNNNNNNNNNNNNNNNNNNNNNNNNNNNNNNNNNNNNNNNNNNNNNNNNNNNNNNNNNNNNNNNNNNNNNNNNNNNNNNNNNNNNNNNNNNNNNNNNNNNNNNNNNNNNNNNNNNNNNNNNNNNNNNNNNNNNNNNNNNNNNNNNNNNNNNNNNNNNNNNNNNNNNNNNNNNNNNNNNNNNNNNNNNNNNNNNNNNNNNNNNNNNNNNNNNNNNNNNNNNNNNNNNNNNNNNNNNNNNNNNNNNNNNNNNNNNNNNNNNNNNNNNNNNNNNNNNNNNNNNNNNNNNNNNNNNNNNNNNNNNNNNNNNNNNNNNNNNNNNNNNNNNNNNNNNNNNNNNNNNNNNNNNNNNNNNNNNNNNNNNNNNNNNNNNNNNNNNNNNNNNNNNNNNNNNNNNNNNNNNNNNNNAGAGAGAGAGAGAGACUUAGCAACGUUCAACUAACAAGUGCAACAAACAAUUGACGUUCAAGGGCUGGGGUUGGUUGCAUCAGAAGAAGCCAGGAUCCUGAUCCUGGACAGAUUGAUGCUCUGACCUUGGAUUUGCCAAAAUUUCCACUGCAUCUAGAUCUAAAGACAUGAACCUGUCCAAUCUUGGAUACCCAUGUAAACAUUGCCCACCCUUUGAUAACUGGGUUUCACUAAAUUGCUAUUAAUAACAUGUUUGAUAUUAUCAAGAAACACCGUUGGCUAUGAAAUUCUUCUGCAAGACUUUACACCCACGGAAUUCAUUUUUUCUGUUUUUUUCUAACCUGAAAAAACUAACACCAGAGGGAGUAGAAGAAAAGGCUCUUACCGGGAUGGAUACAACAGCCGUCGCAGCAGGUGGGUAGACGAGGCGUAGCCUAUCCAUUGGGUGCUUAUGGUGGCAACCAUGGAUGAGAUAAUGUGCAGUGUUUCCCCUACAUUUGCAGUAUAUACACAUACAUAUAGAUACAUGUAGCGAGAGAGAGGAUUCUGAAGAGAAGUGACGCAGGACCCAUCAAGAAGUCAUGAAAGAAAUCAUAAAAAAAAAUGGAAGGGUGGUGGAGGAUUUCUUCACCAGUAGCUCUUAGUCUUCAUGUGGAAGAGGAAGCGGUGAAUAAUAUACUCCAAUAAUGUCGAGAUGAGCAUUCCAGAGGCCACCAUUGCAGCUACUUGAGGAAAUAGGCAUCCCAUCAGGACGGAUCGGGAGAUUGACCAGCAAACCACUGGAAGCCAGAUGACGGGAAUCGCCCACCACACGGUCUUCGUCAAGAACUGAAAUUUGGAUGCUGCGUCUCAAGGACUGUUUCCGGACUUACAUAAAUGAUCGGGAAACUAAAAUGAAAAAAAAAGGAGGCCCACCUCACAGAAAUCACUCUUGAAGAACCGAGGGCUUUCCUUGCUGACAAUGGGCUGGUGAACCCAUUGGUCGUAGGCCUCCCCGAGAUGGCCAACCUUGGGAAAAAAAAGGAAAAUUGAAGUCUGAUUAUUUCGUUUAAAUGGGUUUUUUCUUUUCUCCUAGUUUACCUUCCAGUUGCCAAAGUCAUGACCUUAAUGAGGGCCUCAAAGGCAAAGAGGAAAUAGCACGAGGAAACAUACUUGGAACACGAGGGGUGCAUUUAGAUCAAUGGUAAGCUCCUGUGCAACCAUCUUGGCACCUAGUUCAAUUACAUCAAGAAUGAGCAAGAAAAAAAACUCAAUUUUUGGCGUGCAUCUGGAAAUAUUUAUUCUAGGAAGAUGAAAGUCAAGAUAUACAAAGCUAAUAAUAUCAUUUUAUUUCAUGUGAUUAAAAAACACAGCUGCACUUGAUUGAGCUUUUGAAAGGAUUAUCAAAUGAAGGAUCUAGUGUCAAGAUAAUGGAAAAUUAUAAUAAAAUGAAAAUGAACAAGAAAUUAUACCUGAGUCUAUCAUGACUCAAGAGAGGGUGUGACUUUUAGGACUGGUAGAAAUGAGUCUUCUUUUGACUUCCUCAAAGAGUGAUGAGGUGCUCUAAGACUAACUAUCAACGUGUAACCUAAGGACCAUGAACACCUAUUUAUAGAAAAAGAUGGUUUGUCUCCUACUAUUCAUUUUUAAUUUAGUGUCUCAUAAAAUUGAAAUAGGACAUGGGAUUUACACAUUUAAACGUUUGGUCAUACUUAAAUGACAUAAUGUAAUCUCAAAUAUUUUCAUUUUAGUGAAUCACUUUAAUUGAGAUUUACGUAAAAAUAACCACAUAAUAUAUAAUUUUUAUGUAUUUGUUCAUAUUAAGAUCAAAUCUAACAAUCAUCUACUUAGAUAAUAUCUAUGAUAACAUGAUAUUGUAUAUAAUGACCUUAUUAACUCAAGACAUUACUAUCAUCACGAAAAGCAUCUCCAACAAUCUCAUCCAUCAUUAUGUCAACAUAGAAUUAAAGGAGAUUUCAUCACAUUUAUGUACAAUUAAAUCUAAUAAUAAUCAGGUAAUACAGAUCAAGUAUUGAUGUGUAGCAUGAAAAUUGCAUAAAAUGUGAUUCAUGUAUGUACAUUUUAAACUGAUCAACCUUAUUUCGAAUAGAUAUCAAAUAAAUACAUUUACUGUGAAAAAUAAUUAAUAACUAUAUUCAUACAUUAAAAUAUUAAAAGAAUGUGUCUAUAAAUAUUGAACAUCAAAAUAUAAAAUCCCACUAAAAUUAUAAAUCAUCAUGAUGCGUAACAUCAAUAUGAACAAAUGCUCAUGAUAGACCUUUGGUGGUAGUGUAAAGUGGAUCCCAUUUAGUAAAUGGAUCUACCAGUGUAGAGCCUUUCUGAAUAAGUUCCACAGACAUCUAGUUAGUCAAAAUCAUUCUUUAAUCAUUAGAAACUUAAUAUUUAUAUUAUACUUCAUCAGUCCCCUAUUGAUAUUAGAAAAUAGAAAAACUUACUUAUUGUCAAAAAAUAAUUUUAGUGGUCCUUGAAUUCUAUCUUGAAUUCAAAAUCUUAUGAUAAUUUUUUUAACCAGACCAUACGAUUCAAUAUCUCAUUUUAUGCUGUGAACUCUACUACUAUGGUGGAACAAACUAUGAUCAUUUACUUAGCACUCUUCUAUGAUACAGUUCAUCUAACCACGAUUUAAAUAAAGCUCAUAGUGGACCUACUAUUAAUGCAUCAAAUAUAGUAAGAAUCAAAAUUUUAAGUGAUUAUUCAUUGGUCUGAUUUCUUGUAUAUGAGUAUAUAAUUUUUUGUUUUUUAUGAGUACCACAUCACCUUUUUUAGUUGUCUUCUAGUGAUCCACACUUAUAUUAUUUAAAUAUCUAUCAAAUACCAUGCUUACGCAUGUAAUAUCCAAACAUAUAUAGUUGAGCAUACAUAAGACAUUAUCAUUGAUGCAUAAAGUUGUUUUACAUCUCUUAAAUGAUAUAAGUGUGGAUAUGAUUGCGAUUAAAUUUGUAUCUUUUAGCAAAUGAAGUAUCAUAUAAUUUACAUCAUUACAUGUUAUAUCUCUCAAAUACUUUCUUGAUAAGCUCUUUGGUGAUAAUCUAAGAGCAAUCUUAAUUUAUCUCUAUACUCAAUACAUAAGAGGCUUUAUUAAGACCUUUCAUCUCAAAGUUACGUAACAAAAACCUUUUGGUAUCAUACAAUAACUUUAUAUCAUUACUAAUAAGUAAUAUGUUGUCACUGUAUAAAAUUAAAAAAAUAUAUUAAUUCUAAUUGAAGUUAUGCUGUAUACAUUAUGAACUGUAUUCAUUUUGAAACUAAAUGAGGUGAUAAUUUGAUGAAACUUGUGGUAUCAUUCACAAAAAGUCUACUUCAGCCCAAAUAUAUAUUUUUUUGCAUAUUUUUAUUCAUAUAUAAAGAAAUUAAAAUUUAUUUUUUAUAUUAGUUUUUUCAUCAACAUCACCAUUGAGAAACAUAGUCUUUACUAUUGUAAUUUAAGAUCAAACUGAUGCACUAGUGUCAUUAUUAUUUUAAAAGAGUAUUUUAAUGAAACAAGAUAAAAUAUAUUUAUCAUUGAUGUAUUUUCUUUAAUAAAUCAUUUAACAAUAAGACAAGUCUAAUAACUCUUAAUAUUAAUUUUUAAAUUUUUCUUAAUCUCUAGCACCUAUUUGUAGCCAAUACAUUUUAUACCUUCAACUAGUGAGACAAGAUUGUAUAUGUCUUUAUCCUUCAUGGAUUAAACUUUUUCGUUUAUGUCAUCUACUUGUAAGAAUUAGAACUCAGCAUGACUUAAUAGAAGUUGGUGAGAACAUCUUUAUUAUUUCUCACAUUAGCUUGAUAGCAUAUCAUUUUUAUUAGAUAACAAUACGAAUAAGACUUAGGAAAUAGAGAUUGCUUUUCUAAUGAUCACCCACACAAUUCUUCUCAUACUCUUCAUGCCACAAGCUCUAUCAACAAACUUAGAAACACUACAUCUAUCUACAUCCAAUUUUAUUAAUACAAAUGACAUUCAUAAUAAAAGUAGACACUAUCUAUCAGGUGUAGAGUUGCUGAAACCAAGUAGCGUUAUGUGAGAUAGAAAGCCUAACACAUCUUUUACAGAGCUAAUUUUUGUGGAAUGAUAAAACCUAGAAAGAGGAAAAUAUUGAAGCCCACACACGAGCUCCAUCCUCAUAAGAGCUUACAGGCCACAAGGUCAAGCCUUUCUCUAUGUAGUAAUUAUAUGAAACUUCGGCCUACUAACUGACCAACAUCUCUCAUCCCUAUCUUGCUCUCUAUCUCUCAAUGUAUAUAGAUAUAUAUCUUAUUUCUGUUGAUUCUCCUCCUUGUUGGCAGGAUUUCUGACGUUCAUUUCCUCUGCUCCACAGGCAAAACUAGACCAAGAAGUGGUUUGUGUCCCAACAAUAGAUUCUGCCGGUGGCAAGCCUGGUGGAGAGAUAGUUCCAUUAGACUCCUGGUCUUGGAGAAAGUAUGGCAAAAAGCCCAUCAAGGGCUCUCCUUAUCCAAAGUAAAACUCUAUCAUUCUUCCAACACCAAAGGAUCAUCUUCUUCAUCCUGGCUAAUAAUUGAUGAAAUCAUAGAAAAUGCUCUUAGGAUAUUCUCAAGUAACCUGAUUUAUUGUAUGAUCUUAUUUGAGUCAGGGGUAAUAUUUUUAAAUUAGACUUUCUAAUUAUUUAACAUAGUACCAAGCCAUAUGGUUUCAUUUGUGACCUAUCACUAAAUCAGAUCAUGUUUUUAUUUCCUUUUCUAAAGUAGAAAUCCAAUAGCUAGCAUCACUUUUCAAAGAAAAAGGAAAUAAUGUUGAUUUUAAUUCAUCAUCAGCCUCUUUGACAAUCCCACAAACCUUAAGAAAUUCUUGCAAAUGAUCACAAGGAUCUUCAAUAUUUUUACCAUAAAAUGUAGGUAUCAAUUGAAAAUUUAUUGAUUUAAUAUCAUGCUUGAAAAUUAGUUGCUGUAGAAAAUCAAGUGCAGAUGGUGGAUAAAAAUAAUCUCUAAUAGGUCUAAGGUUUUCUCUAUUUUCUUCUAUUUUUCAUAAUUUAAACAAAUUAGGAGGUGAUUUUACUCUAGAUGUAGGUAGUUCUACUAAUAUGGGUUUUAAUAACUUCCUUCCUAGCAUAUUCUAAUUCUCAAUUUUUUUAUAUUUUUUAAUUUUUGAAAGAACAAAAAAAUAGAAAAUAAAUUUCUAUAGAUAAUUGAAGAUUUCGAAAUUAGUAGAACUAGUUUUGAAAUUGAUGGAAUGUUGCCAAAAAUUGAUGCAACCCUAAGUCAUUAUUAGAGUCAUCAAUCAAUUUUAAUAAUUUAUAGAACUAGAUUUACCAAAAAUAAUUUUAAAUGGAUAUAGUGGUGAGCUAGGUGCUCUCCGUAAUAAAGGCUUUUAAAUCCUUUUAUUCUUUAAUUUAAAGGAUCAUGAAGUUGAUUUGAAAAUUUAAAUUGAUAUUUAAGGAAAUAAAAGAAAUAAAAUGACAAAUAAAUGUAAACAUAAAUUUAAAGCAUAAAUAAAUUAAAAAAAUUAAAUGAAAUACUCUUUGAAAUGAUGAUAGUGAAAGAGAAACAAGUAAAUAAAUGAGUAAAUAUAAGAAAAUAAAUAUAUUUCACAGACUUGAUAAGAAAAUAAAGAAAACUCUAUUAAAAAUACAACUUACAAUGCUUAGAAUGCAUGGUUUGAUGUCGACCUCUAAGUAGCACUUUCUAAUCUUGCAUUCAGUUCAAUAGAAUAGAUUUAAGGUAAAAACGGUAGAGGAAAGCAAUCAAAAUCAAUGAUGCACUCUUCUAAUUUUUAUUUUUGCAUGAAGAAAGAAUAACAAUGUUUUUCUCAAGAAAAACCAAAGAAAAGUUUGAAAAAAAAUAUUAUCUCUCCUCUUCCUCCUUUUUGUUUCAUAGAUCCACAAAUUACGUUUUCUAUUUUAACUUCCUAUUUUUUCAUAUUUUCCCUUUUUUUUCUAAUUUUUAUGAUAAUUUUUCUUCCUCUCACGUGAAAAUAGUUGAUACUAUUGAUUUUACCAAAUAAUAAUCGAUAGUUAUAGAUAUACUUUUCUGCACAUAUGUGAGAAUAAUCAAUAUUGUAUGUUUUACCAAAUGAUAAUCAAUAUUUUUAGAUAUACUGAUAACUCNNNNNNNNNNNNNNNNNNNNNNNNNNNNNNNNNNNNNNNNNNNNNNNNNNNNNNNNNNNNNNNNNNNNNNNNNNNNNNNNNNNNNNNNNNNNNNNNNNNNNNNNNNNNNNNNNNNNNNNNNNNNNNNNNNNNNNNNNNNNNNNNNNNNNNNNNNNNNNNNNNNNNNNNNNNNNNNNNNNNNNNNNNNNNNNNNNNNNNNNNNNNNNNNNNNNNNNNNNNNNNNNNNNNNNNNNNNNNNNNNNNNNNNNNNNNNNNNNNNNNNNNNNNNUUUUUGAGAAUAUUUCUACGUUUAUUCUGAUUUUAUAGAAAUAUUAAGGAAAUUUGAGAAAAAUCAUUAAAUUCAGAAAAUCAGUGAAAAUCCUGAAAUAUCUGCAAAAAUCACGCCAGAUGAUCAAUUGAUUCUCCAGAGAGAAAUUCGCCAAGUAAAUUGACAAAAAUCAAUUAGAAAUUAUGUUAUAAUUCAAUGCAUGUCAUUUUUAUAGUUUAUAAUCUUUUAAAACUAAUGAAAAAUCAAAUCUUUUUAGGGUUUUUGUGUUAACGGCGGACGCACGGAUUGCGGCAACAAAUGCGACAAUUACUUGUAACAAAUCGACGAAAUAUGCGCAAAGGAAGAUUGAAAAGGUGUUUCCGGAGAGGAGUAAGGCAUCCUCGAUUAUUCUAUCCCCCUCUGGGAUCAAAACCCCUCUCGUUCGGUCGCUACAGACGCCGGAUUUUGCCUAAUCCGUCCAUCUGAUACAAAAGAUGGAUUUCGUCGAAAUUUCCCCCUCAUUCAGCUGCUACAGAGGCUGAAUUUCUUCCAGAAAUCUUCCCCAUUCUUCGCCCGAUACAAAUGGUAGAAUUUCUUCCGAGGAUCCUUCUCCGGACGCCGUGGCACGCUCGGAGUCGAAUCACCUUCACUGCUCAAUUUCAGCAAGUGACAGUUGCUAGGAUUGUCAACCAUCGAUUGGAGAAGGUGUAGGAAACCAAUCGGUGCACCGAGCCUACAUAAAUCGAUCGUAUUUGGGCAGAAAUCCAAUCGACGACUGCGCCGCCCAGUUCUUCCGUAAACUUUAAUUUCUGUUCAUUUUUACUAUUUUUAGCUUCCAAUAAUACAUCUUUCGAUCCUUCAUCAUGUUUCAAAUAAAAGCCCUUUUCUAUUAAUCUCUUAUUUCCAUCAUUGUGGCUUUGGUUUGAUUCAUUUACGUGUCGACGUAUUUCUAUCGACAACGAAUUUGGGGCUGUUCUUCGUAGGCUGACAUCAGCUGACGUCAAUAACCCCCAAAUUCGCAGUUUUAGCUUAUUUUGUUAUAAUUUGGCCAGAAAAUAAUUUAAAAAAUAUAAUAUAUCAAAUAAAAAUCAUAAAUAAUUAAUAGUACUUCAUCUUCCCUAUGAUCGACCUGGAAAAUCUACUAAAAAAUAUUUCUCUAUUAAGAAUUCCCUUAUUUUCCAGAAUUUAUAAAUUUUAAAUUUGCUGAAUUUUCUUAGCAACGACAGAAAAUAGUCAGACAUAUACCCAUAGGUGCACAUGUGAGAAUAUUCAAUAUCGUCUAUUUUACUAGAUGAUAAUCGAUAUUUAUAGAUAUAUCCUCCAACAUGUGCCUCGAUGAGGAACAUUAGAUCCUUAUGCCAUCAUUUUACUUUGAAGAGGAGUGACAUGGCCAAAUAUUUGUUGUCAAAUGCUAGUCGUCUCUCUCUUCUUUUGUGUGUGCUUUAUCAAGAUCUGUGUUCCCACUAGAACAUGUGUUGGUAGUUGGCAACUUGUCCCUUUUUGGUGCAUUGGAUCUGAUAGCGACUAGCACUAGAUUUGGCACUACUUUCAUACAACGGUAGUUGUGAUGUGAAGCAUUCUUGUGUGUCAGAUGUAACUAUAGCUACCAUUAGAUCGGCAGCUACUUUUCAUGAAACAGUGGGCUGCAACGUGGUGUCUCUUGGAUCAUUAGAUCUAUUAGCGGCCACCAUUGUAUUUGAAGCUGCUUUUCAUAUGAUGACGACUAUGACAUGGCUUCUCCUGGACUGUAAGAAUUGACCAAUAUUGCCACUCUAUCACUAGAACUAAAAAGGAAAAAGAGACCAAGUUUUAGUUCCACAUCAAAAGUAUUAGGGGACACCUUUACUAUAUAUUAAUGACAAUUUAUCCUUGUAGGCAUCUCCAGAAGAGAAGAUCUAGGUUCUAACUAUGGCUCCCAUGGUUGAUCUGAGUCACACCCUUGGCUCAUAGUAGGCCAUAGAGAUAAGCCUAUGCGGCCCAAACUCAAUUUACACAGGUUGUGAGGUAGUGCACCCUCUAGGCUCGUUUUGAGACACAAUGUGGCCUAUGGCUCACAUUUGGUCAGUUAAGUAAUGUGCCUUUGGCUCGCUAGUGAUGUGACCAAUAAUUUAUUUUUCUCUUUUUAUUUGUUCAUUUUAAUGCCUUUAAAUCUUUGAAAAUUUUUAGAAAAUAUAUUUCAAUUAAUCAUAACAAUUUAGCACAAUAAGAUUUUAUUUAAAAAUAAAAUAAAUGAGAAUUAAGCCUCAAGCCAAGAAAUAAAUUCUCAUCAAAUAAAAUAUCAAUUUAAAAUCAAGAUUUAGAGAUGUUCAUUUAAAUGACAAAUAAAAUAAUUAGCAUAAUGACUAGUGAAAUACUUCUCAAAUAUACAUUAUUCUCCAUGAUUUGAUAAUAUAUUCGUAUGUAAUUUUCACAAGCUAUCAGCAACACCACAUCUAGAAUUGGGCCUAGAGGGCGCACCAUCUCGUGACCCAAGUAAACCAAGUUGAGGAUCAUGGGAACUAGGUUUGGGCCACUAUAAGCUCAUCUUUGUAGUCUACUAUGAGUUGUGGCUGAUACCUAGUCAACACUAGGAGCCAAGGCUAGAACCCAAAUCAACCCAUUUGAAGAGGCCUCUAAAUAAGACUAAUAUCACAUUAUUAUAUACGAGUAGUUUUCCUUCAUAUUUUGAUGUGGGACUAACAUUUCUCCUCACUUGUUUCAGAUCCAAGGAUGAUAGGAGCUCCAUCCAAUGCUCCUCAAUGCACCAUGUUAACCCUUAUAAUGAAGUUGAUAAGUCUUCAUUAUCAUGAGUUAAUAAUUUAGUGAUAUGAUAGUUUUAGCCUUAACUCAUGAUAGUUUUAAAUAGACAUAUAUUUGUGCUAAACUAUGAAAUAUAGUUUCUAGUUGGUUAAUAUGAAUUUUUGAUUAAUUACAUAAUUUUAUAAUCUAUUUUUUUGAUAAAUUGAAAAAGAGUAAAAUAAAAAUAUUUUAAAAAAUAAUAAAACUACUAGCCAACCGGGGCCACAAGCAAGUCGAAGGCCCAAUCAGGUGGAGUCAUAGGGUGGCUGAGGAUUUAAGCUCAAGGCUCAAGUAGCUAAGGGUGGUUCGCAAGCACGAGGCUCAGGUAGUUUAAGUGUGCGUCACUCCCUUUCACGUCACUAGUGGCCAGCUAGGCGUGGGGCAAGGAGUGGUCGUACACACAUAGGAAAGGAAUAAGCCAUCACCAAAAAGAGGACAAUUCACUAGGAGACAAGUCACUACCUCUUGAGAGCAUACUAGAUGUGAUAAAGGCCUCCUCUUGCUGUGCUGACUUGAUGCAAAGCUUUUGAGAUGUGCCCCACCUCCAUCCAACUUAUCUCCAUUAGGUGACAACUGCUAGAGGGCCACAAGUCGCCAUUUUUUACUCUACUAGGUGAUAGACACUGGAGACAAUUUAACGACACAUUCUACUCAUUUCUAGACUUUACAAGAUCUAGAGAUUACCCACAUUGUCUUUGUCUAAGGAAAGCCUUCGAGGCCAUGGACAUUACGUAAAUUCCUUCUCGAACAUGUAGAAUUUUAAUGAUCAUUAUUCCAAAGUUAAAACUCUAUUUUUCAUACUUUAAACUUUAUUUUCAUUUAAAUUAGUGACAUCUAGCAUGAUUUCAAAUUUCUAUAACCUUCUUCAUUAAGUUACGAUUCUUUGUGCUUUUACAUAACUCAAUUUGGUCUAUUAAUUUGAUGGUAAUUGCUUACAUAAGAAUCAUAAGUUGGAACCCUAUUUUCACCUAAUUCAUGUUCAUCAAGUGCUAAUGUCACUUUGACAUCAUAACUUUUCCUUUUGCAUAAAUUCUUAAAUAUAUUAUAUUCAUCUUUCAGUUUAAAAAUUAUAAAAAAUAUAUUCUUUUAGAAAAAUUCUGAAAUAUUACCCAUUAGUAUAUUACAUCUUUGUGAUCGACCUGAAAAUUUCUCAAUAUUUUUGAAAUAUUUUAUCAAUUUAUAAUUAAUUUAUUCAUUUUGAUAUAAAUUUAAGAUUCCAAAAAUUGGUAUUUCUAGUUUUAUAAAUUUUAAAUUUCUAUGAUUUAUUAUACAAAAAUUAAGUCACAUCAGAAGCCAUUUGAUGAUACUAAACUAUAUGAAUUUGAGGGUUAUCAGAGUGUCAUGUCACUAAGUCCACAUACGCUCUAGCAUUCCCUCGAAUGUUGCGUCAUAAAAGUAGUUGGAUCUGAUGCACUAUGAAGAGACAUGCCACUAGUCAUCGUUGGGCAUUACAAUGGAUGCACAAAUCCUAGUAAAGUGCAUAUAUGAGGAAAAAGUGAUGAGUUCAUUUGAUGGUGCAUACAUAGCCACAUCACCUCCUUUCUUAGUGAAACAAUAGUGCACAAAUCUAAUCAUCUUCCCUAGGCCAUGCAAUAAAGGGCAUGCAUGUAAAUAUCAAUUAUUCUCCACUAAAAUGAAGAUAUCAAUUAUUGUUGUGUGCAUGUAGUUGAGCAUCUCUCUAAAUAUUGACUAUCAUUUGGUAAAAGAGAUGAUAUUGAUUAUUCUUAUGCGAGACGAUGAAAAAAUCUAGAAAAAUUAAGAAAACAUGUCGUAGAAAUAGCAAGUCAAAAAGAAAAUUAGAUUUUCUGAUCUGGAGAAUAGAAAUGAGAAAAAGGGGAGGAAGAAGGGAUCCUUUUGAGCUUUUUUCAUGGUUGUUCUAAAAGAUACAUUGUUCUUCCAUUUUCCUAGUGAAAAAACACAAAAACCUUGAGAGUGUACCAUUGAUUUUGAUUGUUUUCCUCCACUAUUUUCAUUUGAAAUCUAUUAUGUUAAACUGAAUGCAAGGCUGAUAAGUGCUACUUGGGGGUCAACACCAAAUCAUGCAUUCUAAGAGUUAUAAUUUUGAUAUUUAAUAUAGUUUUUAAUUUAUUUUCAUUGAAUUUGAGAAUUACCUUUAUUUCCUUUGUUUUAAUCAUUAUUUUACAUGUUUUUCUACUAUUCUUAAUAUUUUAAUCACGUUCUCUUUAUUGUUUUCAAUUAUUUGAUGUCUAAAUUUCAAUUUUACAUUUACUUGUUUUUGUCUCCAUUAUUAGUUUGAAUAUCAAUUUAAUUCAUCACAUAAAUUUCAUGGUUCUUUAUAUUAAACAUUCUUUAAUAUUAGUAGAACAUUUUUUAUUUAUAGUUUCAUAUCAUGUACAGUGUUUCUUAUUUACAUCUCUAUUUAAGUAGCUACUCUUGUUAAUCAAUCCAAAUUUCCAAAAUUAGGGGUAGAAAUUAGCUUAGAAGGAGAUAAAAAGAAAUUCAAAAGCUUUCCUUGAGGAGAUGACCUAACUCAACAAUGAUAUUAAUUAGAUUUACUUUUGGUGAAAUUAGUGCCACAAAUUAUUAAAAUUGAUAGAUGAACUUAAUGAUGACUUAGGGUCCAAUCCACAGUUAAAGGAAGUCAGCUUCGAUCACUUAUAAUACUACUUUGAAUUCACACAAAGAUGAUGAUGGAAUAAGAUAUUGAACAUACAUGUCACAUGUUCUCAAUGUUGCUCAUGAUAUGGGACAUAAAUGAGAACAUCAUAAAGAAAAGUGGUUGGGGUAUUAGGGAGACUGAAUUAGAUCAUGAAAAAAUCUCAUUUUGGAGAUGUUUUCCUUCAAAAUUUGUAUCUAGUAAUACUUAAAUCAGAUGUCUAGCUUCAAGAAUAUGGUUGCACCAUCCAACUCAUCCGAGAGCUUCUUGACAAUCAUAAUAUGAGACGAUCUAGAGUUGUAAUUUGAUUUAAAAUGCAUUAGUUCAUGUAGAACAUGUAAGAGUCAUCUUUUUUCUCAUGAACAUAGGCUUGAGUAGGAGUUUGGUCAAGUGUUGAAUUAUUCAUGUCUCUAGAAUUUCUCAUAAAAGUUGUUCAAUUUUUAUUUCUGAAAUUGGGGGCACCCAAAGGGAUGGAUGUUAAUUGGCUUCAAACUAAAUUUGAGGUCGAUGGUGUGUAAUUGACUUUCUGAUCUCCCCUUCAAACACUUAUGGACAUUAGAUUUGAAGCUAGUUAUCUGUGCCUAAAAAUUUUUUGUGUAACAUUCAUGUGAGUUGUAAUAAUUUAACCAUGACCUUGUCUAUCAAAUAUAGGGCUGACACAAAUUUAGCCAUGACGCCAUUAGAUAAACUUGGACAAUGUUUUAAACAAGCUAUCUGAUUGUGAAAGUGGCUCUACUUAAAGAGUGACUCAUUCAACUCUCAUCAUAAAUGAGAUUUUCCAUUGUUUAAACUUCACUUUGAGCUUCUUCGACAUGCAUAGUGAUCCCACUAUGGUUAUUGUUAUCAAAGUGAUUAAAUGUCAAAUAUUUAAAAAUAAAAUUUAAAAUAUAAAUUAAAACUAAAUUUUGGGGAAUUCAAAUCAUCCCCAUGGAUGAUGGUUGAUCUCAAUAUUAAUUUCUCAUUUCAAAAGAAAUAAAGUAACUAUAAAAGAGCAUCUACAUUUUGUCUCCUUCAAUGCCCAAUGUUAUUGUCACCAAGUUUUGUAUUUUGAAUUUUCUAGCCUUGAUGUCUACCUACAUUCAAAAUUAAAUCAUGAUUAUGAGUAUAAAUUUUUUAGAAAAAUAGUAGAGAAAUCACAUAAAAUAAAGGGCAAUAAAUAAAGCUUAAAUAGAGAAAAAUAGGAAAGGAGAGAAAAAACACAACUUCCAUUAGUAGUGAAAUGGAAAGAUAAAGUAAAAUAUAUGUUGAUGCCCUUGGGCAUAGGUUUUGAUUGACAUUAUAUGAGAAAAUAUAUAAAUCAUAAUCAUUAGUCAUUUCACAAGAUUAUGAUUAAUGACUCAUAGGUUUCAUGCGAGCCACCCAAGAAGCAAGCUAUUACAACGAGCGGCUGGAGCAGUAGGGAGCCGAGGAGCAAGGCAGUAGAUAAGAUAGAAGAAGGGGUGACUAUAUCGUCCUGAAGACGGCCGCCUAAAGUGGUUUUCAAUUCUUUUAAAUACUCGAAAUCCUCAUAUAUUUUUUUCAUAUCAUUUAUCUUGUGACAUUAUGACUAACCUUAAGAUUGAGUGAAAUCAUGAAUAGGUGAAGCACCACAAAUAGAUAAAUAUUUAUUUAAAAAUAAAUAUUUAAUAAGUUAGUUAUGAUUAUAUUUUUAAUUUAUUUAUCUAUGAUUAUUUAACCAUUUAAGUGUAGCUAUUAUUUAUUAAUCACGUGUAUUAUUAAAAGAAAAAGGAAAAGAUUCGAAAUAUCAAAUGAGCUCUUAUUAGUCUCGAACUAGAAAUUUAGAUGAUGACAUAUCAGUUGCUUACAUGGAGAAAAUGACUAAAUUAAUAUUCGAAUAUGAAGACAAAAUCAACGAGAAAGUUAUUUGUCUAUGAGAGAAGAAUCUUCAAUUCAAAUUUUAAAUCGAACAGACUAGAGAAUAGAAAGAUAUUGAAUUUUUAAUAGUCAAAAGUUGUUGCCACGCAUUCUAGAAAAUGGUAAGUAUUCAAAUUGACCUUCCGACUUUGUCUCGAGAAAAUCAUGAAAAUCCAUUAGAGGAGUAUGCCUUACAAGUAAAGGAAGUAAAGGAGAUCAACAACAAUGAUUCUACUUCAAUCAAUAAUAAAAAAUCUCUCUCACGCUUAGUGAUCAAGAUUCAUUACCACCGAGCUUCAAUGGCAAACGAACUGUAUCAUUUGUCUUCAUUAAUAAUUGAUGAUCAAUAUAAAGCUUUAAUCCUUUGAAGAGGCUCUCCAUCAAGCCCUAAGGUAACUAGAUGGUGAGUGGAGAGUGAGAUUGGGUAAAUACAUGAGGUGCUCUAAGCCCUUUUCGGCCUAGAAGGGGCUAGAUAUCUAUGGAGGUCGAACUUGAAGUAUUAGGGCUGCUAAUCUUGUUAAAACCAAUUUGUAUUUUUAAGAUAAAUAGUAGAAUACUAGUAGAAAGGAUCUUCCAAAACUAAAAGUAAUUAGGUGAGGGGUGAAUCAGUAUAUAAAGCUGUUGCCUCAUAGUGAGUUCUCAUCAGAAGAGAGAGAAAGUAAUUAUGCACGUAAAUAAUCACACAAAACUAUGUUAACAUGUGUGUUGACACAUCUAGCGUCUAAGAAGAAAAUAUGAGAUUUUUAAAAUACUAAUUUACCCUCACUCUUGGUAUUUUUUCUGGCCUUUAGAUCUUUCAAUUAGUAUCAGAGCUAACCUUGAUUUACAUAUAUUUACACAUCUCAAAGAGUAGAUCUUAUGGCUAGUGAAAGCAUCGAAUUUUCAAACCUUAUACCACCUAUGUUUGAUGGAACUAACUAUACUUUUUGGAAAAUCAAAGUUAGAAUUUAUGCUACAGGUCAAGGAUCAAAAAUUUGGAAAAUAAUCAAAGGACCAAAGAAAUAUGAUGAUAAGUCUAAAAAAGCAGAACUCUACAUUAAUUACAAGGGCCAUGAAUAUUUUAUUAAGUGUUAUACAUAUUUUUGAGUUUAACUAUGUGCAUAGUUGUGAGAUAGCCAAAGAAUUAUGGGAGAAGUUUGAAAUGACAUACGAGGGGACUUUGGAGGUAAAAAAAAUCAAAAUAAACAUUUUGGUGAGUAGAUAUGGAUUAUUUCAAAUGAAAAAAGUUGAAUCUGUUCAUAACUAUGUUAAAAGAUUUGAUGAAAUUGUUAAUAGAAUGAAGAAUCUUGGAAAGACUUUUUAUGAUGCUGAGCUGAGUAGAAAACUAGUUAGAUCUUUGAUUGAUGAUUGGAUGGUUAAGAAAAUAGUAAUAAUAGAAUCUAAGGAUUUAAAUGUAGCUUCUCUGGAUUAUAUUAUUGGCUCUCUUCUAACGUAUUAAGCUAAUGUAGCUAGAAGUAAAUCCCUUGCUGAAGAAUAUGAGAAUUAUCUUUCUCUUAAAUGCACUAAACUUUUAGAUGAUGAAAAUGAGAUUGCUUUACUAACUAAAAGGUUAAAUAUGUUAUGGAAAAGAAAGAAAAAUUUCAAGCACACAAAUGAUAUGAAUAUACCACUUGAAAAUGUUGAUCUAUGUUUUGAGUGUAAGAAACUAGGUCACUUCAAGGCCGACUACUUAAUGUUGAAAAAAAAAAGGAAAAAGAAAGUAAUGAUGGCAAUGUAAAGUGAUAGUGAGUCAAGUGUUGAUGAAGAGAGAAAGAGCUAAGACAACAUAUAUCUAAUGACAAAGACAUUUAAAGUAUAUGAUUUUGAUGAACUUAUGCAUGUUGUUAAUAGUUUCAAAAGAAAAUUAAAAAUAGAACAAACUAAGAAUCAGACACUUAGGAAGUCAAUCAAAAUGCAUGAAGAUAAAGAAAAUUAUCAAGCAAAUAUUAUUCAUAGAUUAUCAAUUGAAAAUGAACAACUUCUCAAGAAUCUUAAUAUCUCUGAUAAAAACUACGAUGACACUUAUUAUGACACAUCUUCUAGUUGCGGAUCAACAUAAGAUAUAGAUUUUGCACCUAGUGAAAACACACAAUUAGUGGCAACACCUAGGGGGCCAAAGAUCCUUAUCUGCUUUACUUGUUUUAGCAUGAUAAAAAAUUUUUGAUUUAAAUAUAGCAAAUCAAAUACUUAAAAAUCAGAAUAAUAUACUACAUAUGGAGAUUAAAUAGGCCAAAUAAAAUGAUAUUAAAUUAGAAAAAAACUUAUUGAUUUGAAAUCUUUUUAUGAUAAAUUAUGUAGAAGUCAAUGAGCAUUGAAUAUUUUGCUCGAAAGUGAGAAAAGGUAAUUAAGGAAGAAAGGAUUAGGAUUUAAUCCUAAUCAUAUUAAACCUUAUAUUAAAUCUGAAAACAGGUCUAAAACAUAUUAUAGUUGGGUACCUAAGGGUAGUAUAGUUAAACCAAAAGUAAUUUGGGUUCUCAAACUAACAACUUAUGUUUUUAGGGAAAUCUUUGAUGGACUACUUCAGACUGGUACUUAGAUAGUGGGUGUUCAAGACAUAUGAUCGGAGAUAAAAAAAUGGCUCUCCACAUUCAGUCCAAUAGAUAGAGGAGAAGUAACAUUUGAGGAUGAUAAAAAGAGAAGUAUACAAGGGUAUGAAAAUAUUGAUUUAAAUAAUCAGUCUUUAAUUAAGAAUAUUUUACUUAUUGAUGAUUUAAAACAUAAUUUGAUUAGCAUCAGCUACUUAUGUGACAAUGACAUAGAAGUUAAGUUUAAAAGGAAUGGAUGUUUAAUCAUAGAUAAUAAAAAUAAUGAUGUUUGACUUACUGGUCACAAAGUCAAAGACGUUUAUGUUAUAGAUUUUUGAAAAUUUGAUUAAAUCUAAUAUUUGUCUUAUUGUUGAAAAAGAUGAAGAACACAUAGAUUUUUGGCAUAGAAAUUUUGGUCACAUAAACAUUAAAACCAUUUAUAAACUAUCAAAAUUAGGCCUGGUUAGAGGACUUACAAAAGUAUUAAAUAUAAAAAACUUUACAUGUGAGAGUUGCAUCAAAGGAAAACAAACAAAGGAAGGUUUAAAAACAAAAGAAUAUAUCUCAUCAUCACAACCCCUAAACUUGAUUAAUUUAGACUUGUUUGGUUCAAGUAAAUUGCUAAUUUAGCUGAAAAAUAUUAUGAUUUAGUUAUUGUUGAUUAUUAUACACGAUUUACUUGGAUAUUUUUCAUAGUUCAAAAAAAUAAAAUAUAUGAUUACUUCACCAAAUUUGCAAAGAAAUUACAAAAUGAUCUAGGCAUGAAUAUUAAGAAAAUUCGAAGUGAUCAUGGAGGUGAAUUUUAGAAUAUUUUAUUUUUUGAUUUCUGUGAUAAAUUAAGAAUAUCUCAUAAUUUCUCAGCACUUAGAACACCUCAAUAGAAUGGUGUCAUUGAAAAGAAGAUAGGACAUUACUUGAUUUAUCUAGAAUUAUGUUGGCCAAUAAUGAUCUUCUAAAAUAUUUUUUAGUCAAAGCUAUUACUACUACAUGUUAUGUUAUUAAUAGAGCAUUAAUUAUGUCAAAAUUAAAGAAAACUCCUUAUAAACUAUUAAAUAAUAAAAAGUCUAACCUGAGUUAUUUUAAAUCAUUUGACUAUAAAUGUUUUAUUUUGAACAAUGGUAAAGAUGAUUUAGAAAAAAUUGAUCAACAAAGUGAUGAAAUAAUUUUUCUAGGAUAUUUUGAAAAUUUUAAAACAUAUAGAAUAUAUAAUAAAAGAACACUAGUUGUUGAAAAAUCUAUUCAUGUAAAAUUUGUAGAACAAUUAAAAGUUCAAAAAACUAUGUAUUUAGAAACUGACUAUGUUGACAUAAGUUUUGACAACAGUAAAUAGAUAGAAGAUGAAGAAGAAGAAUUACCUCAUUUAGGGCCAAAUCUCGAACAUGAAAAUUUACAUAGAGCUUAGAAAUAUGCUAAGAGUCAUCUAAAAGAAAAUGUUUUAGGAAACUUGAAUGAAAGAGUGAGGACUAGAUCAAUAUUAAAAGAACAAACUCACAUCACAUUUACUUCUCAAAUUGAAUCAAAAAAAAUAUUGAUGAUGCUUUGUUAGAUUUAGAUUAGAUUAUUACUAUACAUGAAGAACUUAAACAAUUUGAUAGAAAUAAUGUCUAGCAUUUAGUUCCUCGAUCUGAACAUCAAAAUGUCAUAGGAACAAAAUAGGUAUUUAGAAACAAAUUAAAUGAACAAGGAGAGGUAAUUAGAAACAAAGCAAGACUAGUGUCCAAAAGUUAUGUUCAAUAAGAAGGAAUAGAUUAUGAAGAAACUUGUGCUUUUAUUACUAGACUUAAUGCAAUUAGAAUUUUAUUAUCUUUGCAUGUACUAAUAAUUUUAAAUUAUAUAAGAUGGAUGUUAAAAGUAUUUUCUUAAAUGGCCUUAUUAAAGAAGAAGUUUAUGUUCAAUAGCUCACUAAUUUUGAGAAUUUGAAUUUCUAGAUCAUGUUUUUAAAUUAAAGAAAGCUUUAUAUGAUUGGAAACAAGCUCCAUGAGCUUGGUAUGAAAAAUUGAGUUCGUUUCUUUUAAAAAAUAAUUUUUAAAGAGGAAACUUAGAUACAACUCUUUUUAUUAAAAAUGUUAAUAUAUAUGUGAUGAUUGUUCAAAUAUAUGUUGAUGAUAUUAUUUUUGAUGCGAGCAAUGAAUCUCUAUGUAAUAAAUUUUCAUCUUUGAUGUAAACUAAAUUUGAAAUGAGCAUGAUGGGUGAGUUAGAAUUCUUUCUUGGCUUGGAAAUCAAACAAUUAGAAAAUAAAAUUUUUAUAUCUCAAGAAAAAUACACAAAAGAGUUACUUAGAAAAUUCAAUAUGAAUGAUCUGAAAUCCAAAAGAACUCAUAUGGGAACAAACUUCAAACUAGUCAUAGAUGAAAAAUGGAAAGAAAUUGAUAGAAAACUAUAUAGAGAAGUGAUCAGAUCUUUAUUAAUAUUUGACAACAAGUAAACCUGAUAUUUUAUUCAAUAUUUGUCUUUGUGUAAGGUUUCAAAGUAAUCCCAAAGAGUCACAUCUCACGGCUAUCAAAAGAAUAUUUAGAUAUAUGAUUGAUACAAUAACCCUAAAGAUAUGAUAUCCAAAGAAUUAAAAUGCAAACCUUGUAGCAUACUAUGAUUCUGAUUUUGUAGGAUCUAGAAUUGAUAGAAAAAGCACUAGUGAAUUAUGCCUAUUUUUAUAUGGUUGUUUGAUUUCUUAGAGUUCCAAGAAAUAAAAUUAUAUUAUAUUAUCUACUACAAAGGCUAAAUAUGUAUCUGCUAGAAAUUACUCUGCACAAAUAAUUUGAGUUAAAUAUUAAUUAAAGGACUAUGGACUCAAACUAAAAAAAAUACUCCUAUAUUGUGACAACAUGAGUGCAACCUAGCCAAAAAUCUAAUUAUACACUCUCGAACUAAACAUAUAAAAAUUAGACAUCAUUUCAUUCGUGAUUACAUACAAAAAGGGAACAUAGAACCAUAUUUUAUUGAUACAUCAAAAUAGUUAACAAAUAUUUUCACAAAACCCUUUUCUGAAGAUAUAUUUAAUUCAAUUAUUUGUGAACUUGGAAUGUGCAAAUUGACUACUACUUAUGUGUAAGUUCUACUAUUAUUGAUGAUGUUAUUAUUAUUUAUUGAUAUGAUAUUUCAGUCAUCAUUCCAUGUCUACUAUGAACCUCGUAUGUGUAGAUGUCUAUGUUGACACACUAUUCGUCACAUGAGUUUUAAGUGUUCUCGAGAGAUUUUUAUUAAGAACACAAACAAUAAAUAUUAUGUUGUCAUAUACCUUAAAAGAUCAUAAAUUAUGUCUAUGUCCCUCUUCUUCUGUCAAAAGGCUAUGUUUCACUAUUCGAAAACUUUACCUUCUUAAUUUGUUUUACCAUCCAAAAAUCUCUAUUUUCUCAAGCUCAUAAGGUUCUAAAUCCUAGCUUACAUCACAUUGGGUUCACUUGUGAGUUAACACAAUAUAUCAUCAUGUGCAUUGCAUCGUAUUCACAUCUCAUUUUAGUCAAAAACUUUUUUGAAACCCUAGAUUUCCAUAAUUGAUACCUGACGCUCUGCCCUUCCUAUUCCUCCCUCAAGAGCCUAUCGAUGUCUAGGAAUCUCGAAGAAAGAUAAAGGGAAAAAUGUUAUUAUUGAUUCAUCUCUUGAAAAGACUCUCUUAUCGUCUCCAAUAGUUGAAAAAUUACCUACUCCUUUUUCAUCUAUUCCUCCAUCACCACUAAUGAAUGAUGAUCAAGUUGCAGCAAUUGUGCAAAAAUUAUCUAUAGAUGUCAACGCCUCUAUUUCAUUCACAUUGAAUCCAAGGUUCUAGAACCUCAUAUUUUGCCCACUAUCGAUGAUCCACUUAUUUUAAGUUUAGAAAACAUCAGCUCUAUUCCACUUGUUUUAAGUCCAGAGCCUUUUGAAUCAUCCCAACCCACGAAAAAAAUUAAACCUAUUCCUCGAAAGCCUUCUAUUAGGCGAAAACUCAAAUUUGCAGAAGAUAUCACCUUGCAGGAAAUUAAAGCCAAGAAACAAAGUUUCAAAAGACCUAGAAAAACUAUUGCAGCUUGACAUGUCCUUGAUGCAUCUCCUCAAUAUCACUUUUUACUCUUUCUCAUUAUAGCCCAUGAAGAAAUCUUUUAGAAAAACUUUAAAGACUGUAAAGUCCUACACUACAAAUUUUUUGAUUUAAAAUUCUUUGAAUUGUAGCAAUUCAUAUGAAGAAAUUAUUUUGAUGCCCUUGGGAUUUCUCAUCUCGCUUUUGAACUAGUUGAUAACUAUCCAAAUCUUAUUCAAAUGUUUUAUAAUAAUGCUUCAAUUACCCUUGUCGGUCUAUCAACUUAUGUCAACGGUGCAUUUAUGGAUUUAACUCCUAAAAUUUUAAAUGUCAUCCUUGAUAUUCACACUGGACCUACCUUGGCCGUCAGCAAACAAAUAAUUAUUGAUUUCUUGAUCACAUUGACUAGAAUGAAAAAUACAUCUAUCAACACCACAAAAGCAUUUCAUCUACCAUUGUCUCAUAGGAUUAUACAUUUUCUUAUUGGUCAUUUCUUAUGACAUAGAAGUGGUGCACAUGAUAGAUUGUCUGAGAAAUCUAUGUUUAUUCUCUAUUAUAUCAUUCAUGGUAUUCCAUUUGAUCUUAGAGAGAUGUUCUUAAAACAAACACAAACAACCUUUAAGUAGGACCUCAUUCUUUCACUUGACUAUGUCAUCACACAUGUCCUCAAGUAUUAUAGUGUAGAUCUCUAUAUGGAAGAGUCUAUUAAUAGCAUUCCUAAUAAUAUCGUUGACAAAUCUAAUCUUUAUCAAAUGGAUUAUUCCUAUAGUGAUGGUCAAUGGCUUCAUCGUCCAUCUUCCUCUCAUGCAUGAUCUCGUGCCCUCAUCUUCCGCGACAUUCUUCUUAUUGUUGAGAAAUUCAACAAAAGUGUGGAAUAAUUAGAGCAACACCUUGAUAUGAUAGAGGAAUGAUUUUGGGACCUUAAAGAUAACAUUUUAGAGAUUCACUUGUGAUUUUCAUGAUUUCUUGAUUGAGAAAAGACUCUAUUUUUGUAUUUCUCACGACUAUUUAUGAUUUAACUUUUUGAUCUUAAAAAAAAGGGAAGAAAAAUUAAGAAAAUCUGAACUAUUAUGAAACCUUGAGUGCACAAACUCAGGGGGAACACUUUCUUGGGGGGAGCAAAAAUGUAUCUCACAUAAUUAUAUUUUUAUUGAUUGAAUCUUUAUGGAUGAACUAUGUGAACAGUUGUGAAUGCUAAAAUUUGAAUGUUAUAUAUGUGUAUUACUUUGACACAUGUUGACACAUGAUGAUUCAUUCUUAUAAUUUUCAAAGUUUUAUUUAUUAUGGGUGUGAAAUUAUUGCUAUAUUAUUUGUGCACAUAAUUAUGUUGACACAUAUUUUCUUAAGAUGGUUUUGUAUCAAAAAGGGGGAGAUUAUUGAUACCUUAGGGCAUAGGUUUUGAUAUUACAAAUAUAUGAGAAAAUAUAUAAUUCAUGAUUAACAUUAUUCACAAGAUUAUGAUUAAUGACUCAUAGAUUUCAUGUAAAUUAAUAUAUUAUUUUUCUUGUGAUAUUAUGACUAACCUUGAGGUUCAGUGAAAUCAUAAAUAGGUGAAGCACCACAAAUUGAUAACUAUUUGUUUUUCAACAAAUAUUUAAUAUGUAAGUGAUGAUUAUAUUUUUUAAUUUAUUUAUCUAUAAUUAUUUAACCAUUUAAGUAUAGUUAUUAUUUAUUAGUCACAUGUAUCAUUAAAAGAAAAAGAAAAAGGUUCAAAAUAUCAAAUGAGCUUUUAUAAGUCUCAAAUUAGAAAUCUAGAUGAUGACAUGUCAGCUGCUUACAUAGAGAAAACAACUAACUUAACAUUUGAAUCUGAAGACAAAGUCAAUAAGAAAGUUUAUCAAUAAGAGAAGAAUCUUCAGUUUAAAUUUCAAAUCGAACGAACUAGAGAAUAGAAUGAUAUUGAAUUCGCAAUAGUUAGAAGUCAUUGUCUUGCAUUCCGAAAAAUGAUAAGUAUUCAAACUGACCUUCUGACUUUGUCUCUCGAGCAAAUCACAGAAAUUCAUUGGAAGACAAUGUCUUAUAAGGAAACAAAGGAGAUCAACAACAAUGAUUUUACUUCGAUUAACAAUGAAAAAUCUCUCUCACACUUGGUGAUCAAGAUUCAUCAUUGUUGAGCUUCUACUACGAGUAAAUUGUAUGAUCCAUCUUCAUCAACAAUUGGUGAUUAAGAUAAAGUUUAAAUCCUUUGAGGAGACUCUCCAUCAGGCCCUAAGGUAACUUAGUGGUGAGUGGAGAGUGAGAUUGAGCAAAGGCAUGAGGUGCUAUGAGUUCUUUUUGGCUUAGAAGGGGUUGGAUCUCUGUGGAGGUCGAACUUGAGGUGUUGGGGUUGCUAAUCUCUUUAAAAUUAGUAUGUAUUCUCAAGAGAAAUAGUGGAAUGCUGAUAGGAAAGAUCCUUUGGGACUAAAAGUAGUCAGGUGAGGGGCGAACUAGUAUAAAAAGCUCUUGCCUCAUAGUGAGUUCCUACUAAAAGAGAAAGAAAGUAAUUCUGCAUGCAGAUAAUCACGCAAAACUGUGUUAACACGUCUGUUGACACAUUUAGUAUUCGAGAACAAAAUCUGAGAUUUCUAAAAUACCAAUUCACCCCCCUCUCUUGGUAUUUUUUCUGACCUCUAGAUCUAUCAAUAUACUUAUCUAUAAAAUUAGCCAUAUCUUUAAAAACAAAUUUAUUAAUAUGAUUAUAAAAUGUUAACUUUCAUUAGAAAAAUUAAAAUAAUAAAAAUAACUACUAAAAAAUGAAACUAAAGCAUAUUAUUUAUUAGUGUAGUCACCCCCCCUGAUGGUGAAAUGGAAAAAUGAUUUUGAUUCAAAUGCUUAAAUAAAUUGACUACUCUACCAAGCUCAAUGAAUUUGAAAACUUGUAAUCAGGUUAACUUUCAUCAAAAAAGUUAAAAUGAUAGAUGCAACCAAUUAAAAAAUGAAAUCAAUAUAGGAACUUGGCAUGUCUAUCAAUCAAGAAUAGAGUGUCAUUGUGGUAUGGAAAUUAAUGGGAAAUCAGUUGAAAAAGUGAUUAAAAAAGGUAAUUUUUUUGUCUAUGUGCCAUCUAGAUGAAAGCAAAAGGCAAAAAUAAAAACUAAAUUAAAUUAGAAUAGAAAUAGAAUUUACAAAUGCCCUAGAUUUCUUUACUCAUUAGUCACCUGAAAACAUAAUAUUAGAAAAUUAAUGUGAAAUCAAUUGAAAAGUGGCAGAAAAUAAAUUUAAAAGUAUGAUCUUGUUGUUUCCAUGUCACCCAAAUGAUGGAUUCAAAAAAUGUAGAAUAAAACUCAAUCAAAACAUAAGACAAAUUGACAAAAAGUACAUUAUUGAUCCACUUUUCUUUGGCUACCACCCAAAGAUAACUGUACUAAGAGAGAAAGGAGAGAGAUGAGAAAACCGGAGAGAAGGGAGGAAAUAGAAGAGAGAUGGGUGAUGCCCCCCUUCUCGUUCUCUUACCCUAUUUUUCUUAAUUUUUAUUAUUAAUAUUUAGUGUCAUAAAAAACAGAAAGUUGAGGUGGUACCCAACACGUUCCCAUGCACUUAUGUAUGUGCUGAUGUGACUCAUGAAACAUACCUUGGGUGACAUGGCCUUCUAUGAUUAGAGUCAUCCUUCAUUCUAAUUUAAACUUUUAGAAAAUCUUUUAUAUCUUGAAUUAUUAAUUUUAUUAAUAAAUUAUUUACUCAUAAAAAAACGUCUCAAGGUUAUCUAGUUUGGAAAGUCAAGUUGUAGCAUAAACUAGAAGAUUGAGCAAAAACUUCUAAAAAAUAGUAUGCAAUUUUAAGCAUAAACUCAUCAAAUUAAUUAUAUAUUCUUGUUUUAUCAAUUUUCAUUCAGUUAUAUUAUUUUAACAUUAGUUAAUGUGACAUUUAUCAUCAUUUUAUCACAAUUAUUUACAACCUCUAAACCCUCUAUAUCUCUAGGAUUUCCCAGCUUAGGUAAAAUGUAGUCUUCAUAGACAAUCAGUAUCUAUAUUUCUAUGUAGAAAUGAUGUAUUAAAAAAAAAAGGAGUCUACCAAGGAAGAAAACAAACUAUCUUUUUCUGUAUUUCAUGAGCAAGGUUUAUGAGAUUGAUCAUUGAUCACACUUUGGUCAUUAAAAUAAAAUACAUCAAAUUUACAUUUUUAUCUGAACUCAAAAUAUAGAAAUUAAUUUGAAAGUUCAGGUGGUUUGGGUUGAUCAUUAGAGAUGAUUGCCAAACUGUAAUAUCAAAUCAUAUUCUCAAAUAAUUUUUGAACUAAAAGGAUUAAAAGGAGCUAUGUCAAUGAAUAGAGUGAAUAACAUUAAAAUAAAAAUAAAUAAAUUCAAUUCAACUAUGACAAGUGUGUCACCCACCAUUGGUGGUGAACAGGACCCCUUGCCACCACAGCACAAGCUCAAGGUGAUGGAGGAGAUCCCGCCCCCAUGCAUUCAACCAGAUUGCGGAGCCCGAGUGAGGAUGAAGAAGCCCAAGUUCCAUUAUACUUUAUGAAGGGCCUUACAUUCUCCUGCCCUAAGCCUUUUCCUUUUUCAUUAUCAUUCAUUUUCCCACACUUGUGAACCACCGAGGUCCCUUGCCUCGCCACAUGUGGGGCCUCCCAUCCCUAGGGCCCAUGUUGGGUCCAUGGUGGGAUGGGAAGGCCCACUUCCUCUUUCUUUCUUUCCUUCCUAUUUCCUCCUCCUUUUGGGCCACACAUGUGGGCCCAAUUGGAGGAGUUGGUGUCCUUCUUUCCCUUACCCCUUCUCUUUUGGGCCAUCCUCAUCUAGGCCAAAUAGAGAGGAGGACCCAUCCAGGGGUAGUUUGACAUUUUGGGCCUCUCGCUUGGUUCUCCACCCUUGGCCCAUGUGGGCCCCUAUAUAACGGGGUGGAGAGCCACUACCAAGGGGGAGCCAUUCUUGAGUUAGAUGUGUGUUUGUUGAAUUUCUCUUAGAGAGGAAGAGAGAGAGCCUAAGGGAAGGGGAGGCACCAUCCGACCAUCAACACCACCACCAGGCGACUAGUUGCUCUGAUGCUACUGCUUGCACGCUGGUCCUACGCAGCCAUACCCCAACACGCAUGCUCCACACCCCAACAGAUAGUAGUUUUCAUGCUAGUGAGCUCAUGAGCCUGCUUGCAUGCCACAGAAUUAGCCCAUGAAGUCGACCAUAGAGCCUAACAUUGAUCCUACUUGUACUUGCUUGCAUUUAGUCGAGUUGGUCUCACUAGCCAUGUAUAGGAUCCUACCCCACAUUGAUGCCUUUCCCCUCUUCACCAUAGGGUGGACCAACCACCAGUACUACAUUAACCAUGGAUUUAAAGAGGAAAGUGUCUCUUCUUCUCUUCCCUUUUAACCCCCCAUCAAAAGGGGUUGGGUAUUGGGCCAGAUAUUGGACUUGUGGUGUGUGUGAGUAAUCAGCCCACUAUCUUGCCCAAUAUUAGUAUAAAAAUUACAAGAAAAUUAGAAAAUUUCCAAUUUUUAUUCUUCUGAUUUUUUUGUUAUCCAAGAAAAUAUUUCUCAAGGUACGAACCUUGGUGAUAAACUCUAAAUUAGGGUGUUGUGAUCUUAACUAGAGUUUAAUAAAUAUAUUUUUAUAAGCCUAACUCUUGAUGGAUUAAGUAGAUAAUAAUGAGCCAGGUCAUCUCCUCUAUGAAUGACCCUAAAUUUAGAUUAAUAGUUGAUUUUAGGAUUAAAUGGGGAGAAGAGGCAUGUAAUAAAUGAGAGGUGAAAGAGGGAGAGGAUGUGGAUCCAAGUCUAGAGAUAUCUCAUGCCCAAGAGUGAAAUAUUUGGGGUGGAAAGGGGUGUGUGAUGUGGGUCUUAAUCUAGUAUUAAAUUCUAUUUCUACACCUACCUAAUUAUAGAAUUAGGGGAGGGGAAAUAUGCACAAGGAUUGAGUGCUCACCUUGGGGUCUACCUGGCCAACCCAAGGCUCUAGUCACUUGCAGAUGGGCAUGCCUCCUCUUCUGUGCUAAUCUCUUCCUUCCAUUCCUUGUUGCCUCUCUUAAUCACACUAGAAUAGUUGAAAUAAAUUUCAUUUAAACCAAUUUAUCAAAAGAGGGAUUCCUUGGGUCUUUUCCAAUGGCCACCCCUCAUUUGGAACCUUGCAGAAUACCCUCAACAAGAGGGGGAACAUUACAUUAAAUAUUGCUUGGUGAUUCCCUUUUUUAACCCCCUAAAUAUUGAAAUUUACUCCCAUUUAUCUCUCCUACAUAAUAGCUUUUCAGGAGGCAUGCACACAUGCUCUUGCUCUAUGUGCUGGUGCCAAGUCAGAACAAGGUUCAUACCAUUAAUUGCUCCACACCCUUGGGCCUUGAGCCUUGAAAGAAUCACCCUUGGUUUGGCUUAUUACCCCUUUGACAUGUGCCCAUGUUCUUGGACUUUUUAUUGGGCUCAACUCUCCACCCCUUUAGCUCCAAAAUUAUGCCCAUUUGCUCCAUUGCAUUUACCUAAGUUCUGCACAAGUAAGUUCAGAAAAUAAUAACUAGAAUUAAGUUAAUAGACCUCAAACGAGUCUAACAGUAUUAAUCUCUAAAAUCUGAUAAAUACAAUAACAUAAGAGAACUUAGCCAAAUAUGUGUGUAGUCGACAAAAUGAAGGAAUUCCUUGAUAAUAUGUAUGGUUUAUACUAAAUACAUAUAUUAGAUCCUAAGUAAUUAAUAUAUAAAUACAUAAAUAUAUGCAUGUUAUCACUUGGAUAUUCAUGGUAGCACAAAUUAAAUCAUUAAAUAAGCAUUUCUCAAGAAUAAUACGUAAAUGAGAUAGUAUUAAUAAAAUGAGUUAAAAAAUGUAUUUUACCAUUUUUCAUAUAAUCUCAUUAUAUCUAAUAUGAAUUAAUGUGAUAUUUAUAAUCAUUUUCAUUGAUUAACGUAGAAAAUUUUCACAUUAUCAAUCAUCUCAAAUCAGCCUGUAUGAAAAAGGAUCAAGGAAGUGUGACCUUAUUCCUAUCUAGCUCUCUUUCUCUCUCUCCUAUUCUUCUUUUGUUGUGAACAUUUUCCUCUUUCAUCACUCAUUUCCCAUUGAUUUCCACAACUCUCCUCUAUCUAUCCUCUUUUGAAUAGAAGGGCCUUAGCAAAAACCCAUGGAUGAAGAUAUGUAUAUUGUCACCACUACAGCUGAGCCUCAACACAUAAAAUUCAAAAGGCUUGAUAAAACAGCUAGACGCAUGAAGUAUGCAAUUUAAGUAUUUUGUGAUAAUUCAAUAAGAGCUGCAUGAGAAGAGGCUAUUCUAGAUCUUAGAGGGUAAUCUAGUAAUAAGCCUUGGAAGAAAGACUCCUUUUCCUCAUCAACUAUAGAUUUUGGACAAGGGAAGAAGUAAAAAUAAAUGGACGUAGGGAUUACAUGAUAUAAAGUAUGGUUAUAUUAUCCAAGUCAAAAUGUAAGUUUUAAUUAUCAUGAGUUAAUAAUCUAGUGAUAUGAUAAUUUUAGCUUUAACUCAUGAUAAAUAGACUUAUUUUUAUGUUAAAUUGUGAAAAGUGAUUUCUAGUUGGUUAAUAUGAAUUUUGGAUUAAUUACAUGAUUUUAUAAUCCUAUUUUGUUGAGAUAAACGGGAAAAGAGUAAAAUAAAAAGAUAAAGGAAAAGAAUUAAAAAACACUGCCGGCCAACCGAGCUUGUAAGCAAGUCAAAGGCCUAGUUGGGUGAGAGCCGCAGAGUGGCUAAGGACCACGAGCUCGAGGCUCAAGUAGCUAAAGAUUGGCUGCAAGCUCAAGGCUCAAACUAGCUGAAGAUAUGGACUACGAGCUCGGUGCUCAAGCGGCUAACGUGUGCGUCACUCCCCUUCUACGUCACCGAUAGCCAAUCAGGCGUGGGGCAAGGAGUGGUCAUACACACGUGGAUGAGUUGUACCUAUUGCUAGUUAAGGAAGCUAUCACCUUAUAUUCGUGUGAAAAUCGAUCAAAAAAUCAAUCAAAAAAUCAAUGUGGGACUAAACCCACCACUCUAACCUUUUCUUGUAAGAUUAAAAAUGCCUAAAAUAUCCCUUCAUGACCAUGAUGAAAAUAUACUUAUGACGUCACAUUGUAAGGGCAUGAUCAUACUUAUUUCACCUCUCUUUCUUUAGCUCUCUUGCAGGUGGGCAACCGCAAAGAAAUCAUGAUUUCUAGUGAGCAAUUAAGUUGCAAAAAUCACCAAAAUCUCAGCAAAACCUUAGUCAACACAAUUCGUGGAGCAUCGUGGCCGAAAUUAGUGAACGAUUUUAGAUAAAAUAUUCUGAACUCAACGAGAAAAUCAUCUCCGAUUGAUCGAUGAAUCAGCUGCCACUGGGAAAAGGAUGAUCUACUAGGAGACAAGUCGCCACCUCCUAAGAGCGUACUAGAUGUGGUAAAGGGCCUCCUCUUACUGUGCUGACUUGAAGACGAAGCCCUUGAGACACACCCCCACCUCCAUCCAGCCUACCUUCAUUGGGUGACAGCCAUCAGAGGGCCAUAAGUCGCCAUUUUUCUAUUCUGCCGAGUGACGGCCGUCGGAAACAAUUUGGCGACACAUUCCACCGAUUUCUAGGUUUUGAAAGAAUAUCUAGAGAUUGCUCACAUCAUCUUUGUUCUAGGAGAGCCUUUGAGGCAAUGGACAUUACACAAAUUCCUUCCCAAACAUACAAAAUUCUAGUGAUCAUCAUCACGAAGUUAGAACUUUAUUUCUCUCAUUUUUAACUUCAUUUUUCGUUUAAAUUAGUAAUAUUUAGUACAAUUUCAAACUUCAAUAUCCUUCGUCAUUGAGUUAUAAUUCUUUGGGCUUUUACAGAACUUAAUUUAACCCAUUAAUUCGACGAUAAUUGCUUAUGAAAGAAUCGUAGGUUGAAACUCUGUCUUUGCUUGAUUCGUGUUCUUUAGGCAAUGACAUCACCCUCAUCAUAGCCUUAUUUUCUUUUUAUAUUUCUUAAAUAUAUUAUAUUUAUUAUUUAGUUAAAAAAUCAUAAAAAUUCGUAAUCAUUUAGGAAAAUUUUGAAAUAUUACUUGAUAUUAUAUUACAUCCCUAUGAUUAACUUGGAAAUUUCUCACUAUUUUUGGAGUAUUUUAUCAUUUAUAAAUAAUUUAUUUAUUUUUAUAUACAUUUGAAAUUCUAAAAAUUAGCAUUUUCUAGUUUUAUAAAUUUUUAAAUUUCCGUGAUUUAUUAUACAAUGAUUAAGUCACGUCACCUUCUAUAUUUUUUCUAAUGUAGAAAGUGCUAGAAAAUAAGUUUUGAGUGUCCAUAUUGAGGGCAUUAUGAUUGCUAAGCACAACGAUGACUUGUCGAUCUCAUUCUGACCAUGGAGAAAGGUAGCAGGUGUAGGAGUGGAAUCUAUUUUUCCUCUUGUAAGUUUGAAUGGGCAUCUCAUUUUUCACCAAUAUUUUUAUCCAUAUGUUCUGUCCACUCACAAUUGAACCCAUUUUGUUUGGUUGAAGAAGAAAUUAAAGAAGAAAUAUUAGGAAGUCCUUUGUACAUUUACGAAGACAUUUCCUUUGAAAUAUUCCCAACAUAGUGAGCCAAGUACUCAAGAUGUCCAUGCAUCAAUUGGGUAUGGUUAAAAUUGGGCACUGGGAAGCACCACUGAUUUUUUAAUUGCUGAAGCAAUUUGCCAAAAACCAUAAAUGGGAUGAGUAAUAUUGCUCACAGAUUGCCAAUAAAAUAAUAGGAAAAGGAUUCUCGUUCCACCAUGUGUUUUCAAAAUCACUGAUUCUAACCAAGCAUGGUUCCCUAAAAAAAGUUCAUUAGUCCAUCCUCAGAUAGUCUCCUCGGAUGUACAAUAUGAAUGCAUGUGAGAUUUGAUCUAUAGGAUUUACCUUUGUAAUUGUUUGUUGUAUGUGAACAUGAAGAUAUGCUUUUCUUUUCACGAAAAAUAGUAAAUGAUUAUUUUGUGUCAAAAAGUAGAGUUGAUAAUUUUUUUGAAUGCCAUGAAUGUACAAUCAACAUGAAUGUGAGAUUUGGUCAUGGCUUUAUCUGUCUUUGUUCUUUGUAUAUAAACAUGAGGCUAUGAUUAUUUUCGUGAAAAACAGUUGAUGAUUAUUUGCAUAAAAAAAAUAAUUUUGUUGAAAGCAACCAUUUUGUCUGAUAGUCAGAACAUGGUAGAUUGCUGUAGAGAUUUGAAAACCUUAUAAGAAAAUGAGGUUUUAGCUGCAAUGUGACGGAUAUAGAGAUCCAUUGUUUUGUACUGGAUGCGAGAUUUUUGAGAUUGGAUUGGAUCUCCAUGUGCCUUUUAUUAUGUUUAUCUUAGCUCGGGAGAGUUGUUAUAUUCUUCUAAAUCAGGUUGAAAAAGGAUAGGACAUUUUGAAAAAACUAUGAAAUCAUCCCCAGUAAUUUCGAAUACUUGACCGAAACAAAUUAUCACCGAAUAGCUCAACUCCAUUUUUUGGUACCAUUUUAUCAGCACCUCAUUCUCUGGCGGCUACUCCAUCAGAGAAGAUCUUUUUUUCAUUAUGCGCUAUGGAAGGUUAGAUUAUCCGUUUUUAUCUUAUGAGGUCAUACAUCUGGUACAAAUAUAAUCUAAUCAUAAGUUCAUGCGGGGUCCUUUUAAUUUGGAAAACUACGGUUUCUGAAACAUUUUUGUUUAUUUUCUUCAUUUAUUCAUUCCGAGGUACCUUCCUCGAACAUCAAGAAGAUGAAGGUGCUGGACAAAGAGAACGUCAGGAGGGCGAAGCUCUAUUACCUGAGGACCAGGAUGAACGCUCUGAAGCACAAAUGAAAAGCCUCUUCCAGGAAGAUAAAAAAAUCUCGAAUGUUUGGGUUUCUUUUUUCUUCUAAAUUUUUCCUUCUCCUCGGCGAAGGAAAAAUAAAAAUCUCUGAUCUCCCCCAAAUUAUAUUAGUCGGGAGUUGUCCUUAUCCUACGUGGCUUCCCCACCACGGCCCACAUGGCGCGCAUUAUUGGGACACGGUAUAGGUCGAGCCACCUCGGUGCUUUCAUAAAAUGGGCCAAAAUGGGCCGAGCCAGUGUCGGGCGUGGCUCCCAUUUAAUCGAAUUGGCCCCCACCAAAACGAAAUCACCGGCCUCCAUGUCGUGACGUAAUCUGAAUAGGUGUAGACGGAGAUAAGUAGAGAGAGAGAGAGAGACGUAGAGAGAGUGAGAGAGAGAGAGAAGACGGACACACAGACAGAGAGAACGAGAGGGAGAGAGCGAGCGAGAGAGAAAGGAGGGGAGUUUAAUCAAUGAGUGGGGCUGUAAUAGCAGUACUUAUAAAUAAAUGAAGAGCCAAUUGAGAACCCAACUCACUUGUCCUCUCUUUCUCUCUCUCUCUCUCAUAAGGAGAGGAGGGGACGGCGACGCUAAGAACGAGCUUUCAUUCCAUUAUGAGGCCACUGUAGUUUGGUACAAAGCCUUCAACGAUGAGGACAUUAAAAUCGAAGAAAAAACAUUCCUGUUGUUUUAAAAUAUGAUUCAAAACAGCUUUUUUAUUUUUUUCAAAUAUCAUUCCAGGUAUAAAUAUUUUCAAAUGAUUGGCCUAUUACAAAAGAGCGAUAUCGUGAGGGUGACAUCCGGUCAGCUAAGCGCGAUAUCGGUCCUACUCAACCUCAAUUAUGUGGUAGAUAGGCUCUACGUCAUGUCCUUUAAGUGCGCGACGAGAGACCCUAGAAAGGGUGAGCCUCCAACCUGCUCCCCCCUCCUCUCUCUCUCUCUUGUAAAGAGAGGAGAGAGGCGACGCCUCAUCACUCAACGAACACUCUUUAAAUAAUGGGUGGCCCUCUCCCACCCAUUAUCGCAACCCCCGGUAAAAUACAGCAAGUAAAUAAAAAAAUUAAGUAAAACUAAUAAAUUAAAUAAAACCCAAUAAAUCAAGAUGUUAAAUGAAACCCAAUGAAUAAUUUCGAUCGGCGCAUUAAACCUCCCCGCGUGUAAAUAAAUAAAACAGUUUUUAUAUAAAGAGUCCUAUGGAUUAGCCGGGAUCCCAUCCUCAAAGGUUGGGACUUCCACUCGGUUUCAGCCCAAGGUGGAAACUUUGGCGCGGGCUCAGAUGGGGUCUAUGCCACCGGUUAACGCACGGCAAAUCACUGAUAGCACCAAAUAGAGCCUUUUUCUCGGCGGGCGGGGCACAAGAAUGAAUAUUCGUAAGAACUACUUUAGCCUCCCUUGACUGUGGGAAAUGCUCGGUUUCUUCUUUUUCCGCUUAGUAGGGAGCUGAGUACCUAUCCACGUCAUGGAUUGACACCACCAGAUCAGAUAAAGGUUCUCAGAUAUCUUUUAUAAAAAAUUUCUAAUGUUUGUCCGACGAUUAUGACCUUGGAAUUGGGGCAUAUAUAUUUUUCUUUUACUGGUUAUGAAGUAAUUUGAUCCAAAAUUACCGUGAAAAAACACCAAGAACGAGCUCUCCUCAAAGGCCAAUGCCUUCAACGGGUAUGACACUAAAAUGAGAAAAAGUCGACUAUAGUCCAUACAAAUUCAGCAUAAAACGAACCUAGUUGUUCGGCUAAUUAUAUUUAUUUUACCGAAAAGCGAAUUCAAACGAACGCAGUGAAGUUAGAACUAAAAGAUGAAAUAUGUUUUAAAAUAUCAUCCAAGGUGUAUAUUCUUAUAUAAUUGGCCAUUAACAACACGAGCCAUAAGGGCGGCAACCGGCCAGCUCAGAGCCAUGUGGGUCCUAAACGUGCAUCCAGGGCUGGAUGUGCCCCAGGCCCUGAAAAAGCCCUCGGAAGAUGAGCUCACGUCAUUCCUUUCAAAUGCAAGACGAUGACGCACUGCUUUCUGGGCCCCUGCAUGAGGGAGAGAGGAAAGAGAGGAGGAAAGAUGGCUCUGACGUGGACUAGGUUUGGACAGCGACAGCCGCGUGGCGACCAUGCUUAGGUCUGGAAUCUCCCCGCCCCAGUGACGACCUCUUUUUCCGUCGGAAGGAGGCUUGGAGGGCUUGAUCUCCGACUAUUCUAACACCAGCGAUGGCAGACGCUUGCAGGGUAAUUGAAAAGGGGGCGCAUAUGUCGUGGAGCAAGCCCGGAGAAUAUUCGCGUUUCAUCUAGCACAAGGAAGAGUUGCCAUUGGGGCUCAUCGUAUGAGUCGCUCUCCUAAUGAACUCUCUCUCUCUCGUUUUUUCCAUCGGAAGGAGGCUUGGAGGGCUUGAUCCCCGACUAUUCUAACACCAGCGAUGGCGGACGCUUGCAGGGUAAUUGAAAAAGGGGCGCAUAUGUCGUGGAGCAAGCCCGGAGAAUAUUCGCUAUCAUCUCGCACAAGGAAGAGUUGCCAUUGGGGUUCCUCGUAUGAGUCGCUCUCCUAAUGACCUCUCUCUCUCUCUUUUUUCCAUCGGAAGGAGGCUUGGAGGGCUUGAUCUCCGACUAUUCAAACACCAGCGAUGGCGGACGCUUGCAGGGUAAUUAAGAAAGGACCGCAUAUGUCUUGGAGCAAGCCUGGAGAAUAUUCGCGUAUCAUCUCGCACAAGGAAGAGUUGCCAUUGGGGUUCCUCGUAUGAGUCGCCCUCCUAAUGAACUUUCUCUCUUUCUAUCUCUAUCUCUCUCUUCUCGAGGGGAAUCUGUGGAGUGACGAGCGGGGUAGGCAGAAUGAUUCAGAAUGACACUCUCUUUGAUAGGUUUAGCUGCAAACGAGUUUCAGCUGGGAUUGGGAACGAAUUGAACUGGUGGUCCUUCGAAAACCACCAUGGCAUUUGGUGGAUGCUGCGGGAAUCUGGGGAAAGAGUCUAAAACCCACCGGGAAAAGCACUGCGAUCUCUCCAACCCCCUCUCUUCCUCGCUCUCUCUCUCUGUGCUUAUAUAUGUAUAUUAUAAGGAAACUUAUUUACUUUUGUCAUGUAAAAGUCGGCGAUGAUGACAGGGAAGGUGGGAAAGAAACACGCGCGCGUUCUUUAAUAAGAUCAUGUUGUUUCAUCUGUUCCCUUACGUCAUUUAGGGAGAUGGAGAAAGGGGGGUGACGCGAUGAGGGAUCUUAGUUCCUGAGCACAGGUGGGGUUUUUCUUCCUCCCCUAGGUUUCACACAGAAGGGGACAGAGAGAUCUACUGGCUUCAAAACAGCGUGCAGUUUCUUCAUUUGCCUUAUGCAUUUCAGAUAGGCAUUUCAGAUAGAUAGAGAUGAGGAGAGGGAGAUCUGUAAUUCAGCAGAGCCCGCGGUUUGUUCUCUUCCCUUAUGUGAUUCCGUUAGAAAGAGAGAGAGGGGAAGACUGUUGUUUCUCCUCUUCCCCUAUGUGAUUCAGUUUGUGUGUGUGAGAGAGAGAGAACGCCCAUGACAAUCAACUUACAAACAGCUUCAAGUUCUGGGUUUCGUCUCUUCGUACCAAUCGAAAUCUAUUCCUCCAUCCUGGGCCCCUACAGGAGAGAGAGAAAGAGAGAGGAGAUAGAGGGAUGGGCUCUGACGUGGACAUCGCUGGGACAGCCGUGUGGCGACAAUACUGAGCUGGGAUCUGGGAUUAGCCCCGUUCAAAUGAUGACAUGAUUAAAAAGGGUUGCCUCUAGGGGCAUAUCGUUUGAUGCAAACUGUGACGACGUCGUCGUACGACUUUUAUUGCACAAAAUACAAAGAUAGCUCGUGCCACGUGUCCAUCUGGGUUUCGUUAAAAGAAAAAAACUAGAUCUUUGGCGGCAGCGUCUCGAGCACCCAGUCCCAGAAAGAGGAGGUGACGCCGAACGCCAAGUUUUGUGUUCGGAAGUGGUGGUUCAUGUGGUAGCGCUGCAUAAAAAAAAAUACGGAGGGAGGAAUUUGAGAGGAGGAAUCCAAAUGUAGGAAAGAAUAGGCAUAUGCGUUGACCUUAAGGUUACGGGCCGAGCCAACGGAGGGCUGGCCGUGAUGGAGGUAGUAGUGAGUACAGUCGUAGAUAAUGUAGCCCAGGAGCCCGCCGCCGAACGCAGCAGGGGCCAUUGACGGCGCCGCCACGAGCUUGGUGAGGUGCCAGAGCUGGAAGAAACCCGACAAUUGAAAAUAUUAGGAUAAGAAGCAGAAGGUGGAACCAGGCGGAAUAAUAGUUGAAUAAGGAGAGAGAGAGAGAGAUUAGAGAUAGAGAGAGGAAACAUUAAUUGAGUUAGUAUCUGAGGGGUGAAUGAUUGGGUGGUUUGUGUUGGCCGUAUUGGAAGAAGGAUCCUGAUCCUGGAUGGUCUGAAGCUUAAGAGAGGAAGGUGGUGGAACGGGGUGCAAUUUAACUGAAUGGGAGUGUGUGUGUGUGUGUGUGAGAGAGAGAGAGAGCGAAAGAGACAUAAACAUCCAAAUCACAGGUGCGACAAGGAAUGACACUCAAGGCUGGAGUUGGGUGAAUCAGAAUAAGCCAGUGUCCUUAUCCUUGACAGAUUGAAGCUCUGACCUUGGACUGGCCAAAAUUUCCACUGCAUCCAGAUCUAGAGACAUGAACGAGUCCAAUCUUGGAUACCCAUGUAGUCAUCUCCUAACCUUUUUAUAAUCGGGUGUCACUCAAUAGCCAAUAAUAACAUGUUUGAUACUGUCAAUAAACACCAUUGCCCAUGAAAGUUUUCUGCAACACUUCAUAGCCAUAGAAAAUUUUUACUAAUCUGAGAAACUAGCAUCAGACGGAAGACAGGAAAAGGCUGUUACCGGGAUGCAUACAACAGCCGUCACAGCAGGUGGGUAGACGAGGCGUAGCCUAUCCAUUGGGUGCUUAUGAUGGUAACCAUGGAUAAGAUAAUGUGCAGUGUUUCCCCUGCAUUUCCAAUAUAUACAGACGCAUAUAUAUGUAGCGAGAGAGAGAGAGAGAGAGAGAAAGAGAGAGAAAGAGGAUUUAGAAGAGAAGUCAUGGAGAAAACACAUGAAAAGGAAUGGAAGGGCGGUGGAGGAUUCCUUCACCAGUAGCUCUUAGUCUUGAUGUGGAAGAGGAAACGGUGAAUAAUAUACUCCAGUAAUGUCCACAUGAGCAUCCCACAGGUCAUCAUUACUGCUACUUGAGGAAAUGUGCACCCCAUCAGGAUGGAUCGGGAGAUUGACCAGCAAACAACUGGAAGCCAGAUGGCGGGAAUCGCCCACCACACGGUCCGCGUCAAGAACUGAAAUUUGGAUUCUGAGUCUCAAGAACUGUUUCUGGAUUUACAUAAAUGGUAAUAUACUGUAAUGAGAGAAAAAAAUGGAGGCCCACCUCACAGAAAUCACUCUUGAAGAACCGAGUGCUUUCCUUGCUGACAAUAGGCUGGUGAACCCAUUGGUCAUAAGCCUGCCCAAGAUGGCCGACCUUGAAAAAGAAAAAGAAAGAAAAUAAGAAAAAACUGACGUCCGACUAUUUCGUUCACAUGCAUCUAUUUUUCUCUCCCAGUGCAGCAUCCGGUUGCCAAAAUGAUGACCGACAUGUGGGUCUCAUAGGCCAUGAGGAAAUAGUACAGGAAAACAUACCUGGAACGCAAGGGGCGCCUUUAGAUCGACGGCAAAUUUCUGUGCAUCCAUCUUGGCACCUGGUCCAAUUCAUCAGGAAUUGGAGUGAUACUGAGAAAAACUGACGUUCGCGCAAUAAUGAGCAAGAAAAAAAACCCAGUUUUUGGCGUGUAUCAAGAAACUUUUUUUUCUGAGAAGACGAAGGCCAAGAAGAUGUACGAAACCAAUAAUAUCGUUAUAUUUUAUGUGAUUAAUUACGACAUAGAGCUGCACUUGAUUGGGCUUUUGAAAGGGUCAUCAGGAAUACUCUGCUUAGUACUAGAGAGUAAUAGAAGCAUAGACAAAAUGAAACCAGGGAGAUCACCACUCGACCAGGAUCGUAUGAAUGUUUAUGAAGUUUGUGUCACAACCGGUAGGAGAUAGAAUGCGAAGUCUUAGAUAUAAGAACGCGAAUUCACAGUUCCCCAGCGCCUACCAUCCCCCGAUCUUCGCUUCCAAUCUCUACUUCCAACAGUAAGGUCAUAAACCCGCGGCGUUCGCCAAUAGAGCGAGAUGAACUGUGAGCGCACGCGACAGGAAAAUAUACAGAAAAUUCAAGUAAUUAUGAAAGCCAUCUCUUCGUGAGAAUAAGUGCGCCAUCAUAAAAAAAUAAGAAUAACCAAAAUAACCAAAAGGAGAAAACACCGGGCAGAGUUUAUAGCCGGCUGGAGCUGCAACACUCGCUCAUUUGCUGAAUACGGAAAACACGGCUUGCAGAACAUCAGACGAUUACAAAAUUACGCGUAAAAAACCUUCUCCAGGAUGAAGAUCUACGAGCCCACGUCCCGGAAUUCGAACAAGAACCAGAAGAACAAAUGGAGAAGGCAAGAGAAACCGUUCAUGGAAGCCGGAACGAACCAGAAGAGCCAGAAAGCUGAACUUAGCCGUGCCACGCCGCACGGCUUCCUCCCCUCCGCCGGUAUUUGAAGCUCUCGCGGAGGCGACGGAAGAAAAUUUAGCGGGAGAGAGAGAGAAAAAAAAAAUGUGGUGACCAAUCUCACAGUGGCGAGUACUUUUCUCUUAACCCCCCUGUGAAGAUUUCAUAAGAUUAUUGACCACAACUAUAUUUCUAUACCCUUAAAUAGUCCACAUCUGUUAAUGUCGGGUUCACGGAGUGAGGGAUUAAGAGUGCAUAAACCGAGUCAACAAGGGCUUUAGACUAGUUACAAGAUUUUAUGGGGUUUCGAAGAAAUACUCACGAAGGGCCCAACGCAGCUUUUUAAUAAAUUUAUUUAAUUACAAGUAAACCAACUCGCGUUGGUCUUAUAGUUUUGCCCGAAUACUCUUAUUAUUUCCAUCUACCCCUAGAAAUUCCUAAAACUCCCCCAUAAAAUAAGAAACAUGUACGAACCCCCUUCUUCCUGGUAUUCUACCCAGAAAAUAGAUACGCCAUUUAUUCCUUCUCUAUAUUUUUUGCUUUUUCCAAAAAUCAAUGGGCACAUUGUCUCAGUGUACAUGAUAACCCCCUCUUCCCAUGGAACUCUUCAAAGAAAAAUAUAUCUCGAAUAUUCUUAUCGUGCUCCCAAUUGUUCUGCCCAUCGCUGAGUUUUUGACUAAUAUAGGGCUUAUUAAUUUAAAACGAUUUGUCUGAAAAUUGUAAAAUUUUGAACCGAUUGUGCAGAUGUAGUAAAAUGAUUAAUAACAUAUUUUUUUAUUUUUCAUGUUAAUAGAAGUCAGUGUCAUGUUAAGGAUCGGAUUUUGAUGGAUUACUAGUAAGCUCAUCGGAGCUUGAGCUCCUGUGACCAAUUUGGGCCUGACCUGGCCCACCAUCAAUGGGCCAGAUAUCAGGCCCAAGCCAUAACACAAAAAUGAUAUUCCCUGUUUUUUUAUUUCUUGCAAGAAGCCCCUAAAAAGUUAUUAGAGUUACAAUUAUUUCCCUUAAAUGCGACAAAUUGGAAUAUGCUGCAUCUCAUUGAUCCGUUAACAGGGCCCCAAGAGGUGAGGAUGGAGCGGUGGGGCCCAUGGGUACCAAUAAUGGCCUUGUCUGAGCCUAUUGGGAUUGGGCCAUUAACGCCCGCUCUCUGGGUGGGGCUUCGAAAUGAGGCCUUCGCAUGGUCUUCUCUUAACAGCAGGACUGGGCCUGAACUGGACCGGCCCAAAAUUACUUUAAUGGGCCCACAAUCACUUUACUACACUGGUCCAUUCAAAAAAGGAUAAAAACACGUGUCUUAAAAUCGGUGGGUGAUUUCACGUGCCCGUUCAAUGGAGGAAUUUUGACGUUCCGUGAAGAAACGGGCGGCUGAGGGAGUUGUCGCGUGCGAGGGCAAUGGGCGCGUGGCUAUGCCGCAUGCAGAGGACUAGAAGGGGACCCUGCGGAGGGCAUUGACCGCAAGGAAGCGGGGACGGUGACAUCUGCGGGUGGUGGACAAUAAUGCCUAGCAGGGCGGACGGUGUGAUCAGCGGCGAGAGAACCUGGAUGUUCAUUCGAGUGGUGGAUCGUGCGGUCGUGAGGGGCGGACAGGUGCCAGAGGGUCGCCUCUCAGCAGUGGCGGCGGCAGCAGUUACGACGGCAGCAGUGGCGGUGGCCGAGAGAAAACCUAAGGGGAAAAUUUGAAAAAAAAUGAUGCUUAAUUUCCAAAAUUCACCAAAACCAUUCAUUACAGCGCUGACCCUAAUUAUAGGUUUAAUAUUCUUUAAAGGAAAGUAAAUGAAAGAAAAACCCUAAUAAUAAAUAAAAUUUGGAUCUUGGAUCCUAGGUUUGUGAUGACGACGAGGCAUGAUUAUUGUACUGGCCGUCUCCUCUGGCGGUGGCACUGUCCCAUCAAAUGCUGGGGCUGGGACAUUUGCCCCACCAGCCAAUUCUGCUUCUGUUGCUCUUACAGACAGGUAACUGAUCCCUUUCCCUCUAUACCUUUUUUUUCACCUGUGUGAGAACUGAGGCUAAUUGGUUUCUCUAAUGUGGAGGGUUUUUCUUGCCCCUGGAUGUCACCUUUUUUUCUAUUUUUCUGCCCAUGCCAGGUUCUAUUUUCUUUAGGUAUAGUUUGAAUAAAAUCAGAUUGAAGUCACAAGGUUUUAUCUAACUCAAUGUCAGUGCUCUAAUGUCGUUUUCUUUUUCGCUCUGUAAUUUUUCUCCAACAUUUUCCAGCAUAUUUUCAGGACUUCGGUCACAAUGUCUUUCAUACUGGGAAACAUUUAGUGACGGAGUCCAAUUUUUCACAUCUUCAAUGAGCAUAAUAAUCAUAGGUACUUAUUAACUACUGAUGUUUAUUGAUGGUGUUUUUUGGCUAGUAGCUGUCUGAGAUGCGCAUUUUCUUUUCUAUUUUCCAAUAUUCUCUGUUGAUGGGGUCUACUUUUAUUCGCACAUUGGAGGCACAUAGCUCAUUUCCUUCAUUACCUUGAACGUUGUUUUAAUUCUUCCAGAUAAUUUCCACACAUUCCAACGGAGUUCUUGAAGAGUUCCUUUUCUUUAUCUUUCUAACUCUUUAUUGGAUCUUAUCUUAUGAAUAAUUUAACAUGUUCGCAUUAACAUGCUGGGUUUGACAGAUAUUGUGGCCAAUUCUUAACAACAUUGUUUCUCUUCUAUAUCUGCAAAGUUAUCCUGUAAUGUUUGGAGAGCUACCAGUGCUAAAAAUACUUUAAAAUCAGACCAAUGUUAAUUUCGUGGUGCCGUUCUCAUAAGAUAAACGUUAAAUGCAUGGAUCCACAUUUCUUUUUCCAACCAUCGUCACAGGAGUAUUGGCCAUUAAUCAUUUUUAUAUCUUCCUAUCUGUUUUGACGUUUCUUCUUUAUGCUAACAGGUAGAGUGCUUGCUGAAAUCAUGCAAUCGUCUAGGAGACACAUUUGUCGCAAUCAGAGCCAUGUUGCCAGUACUGCGAUUCUUCCUUUUAAAAAUUUCAAAAUCUAUUCAAAUACUUGCCACGGAUUAUCUAUUUAUGAGUGCACCUCUAGAGGAGGAGGGGAGGCCAUGCGUUUUCUUCGGGAUAUAAGAAGUAGCAGAAGUCUACAU